rnacentral:lncRNA from 1 species
UUUUCAUCAGUAGGUUACCUGUUCAACCUACUUGUGUUUUCUUGCUUCCGCUUGUGUUUAGUAGCUCUGAAUACUUUAGAAUGUUUGUAUUUUAUGCGAUGUUCAGAAGUGAUAAAUUAAGAGUGUAAUUUGAAAUUUUCGAGUUAGGGUUGUCCAUCUGCAAGGGAGAUUUUCUUAAUCUUUUCAGUAAAUUUUCCUUGGAGGUGGUCCCCGCACGACUUACUCUGGGUUUCAGGGUGAAAUUCGGGGUGGGACGUGUCAGGCGGUGCUCCUAAUCUCAUAAAGAUCGGCCUAGGCCAAUGUUCGCCAAUAUUCUCAAUAAUGUAUUCUUCUAGCGAAACCUUUGUCACGCCACACUGUUCAUCCUGCUGCAUUCCAGUCCAACUUUUUGCGUAGUGGUUGACUAGGGCUUAAGAGUUCAAUCACGGCCAAUGAACUUUUAUCCUAUAGUUCCCUAUUAGAAGAAUAUAAUUACUUGCUGCUGCUAUUGGUGGAGAGAUUGGCAGAUUGCUAGCUUUAAAUCCAAGCUUAAUUAGAACUCAGAUCUUAGCCUGAUGAGCAUUAGAUUCAUGAGUUUUAUUGCUUGAUUCUUAGUUCAUUAGCUGUACAUUAAUUAAGGUUUUAGGUACGUAGCUAGUUGAAUGGUUCAGGGAAUUAGUUGUGCACUUGUGCAUCAUCCACAGUUACAUGUAAAUUAGCAACAUGCUUGACAUAUAUGAUUUCCUUAAGGGUUGAGUUAUUUUGUAAUACUGCAUUCAAGAAUGAGAACAUGCAUGAUUUCCUUGGUGUAACUAACCAAUCAUGUGAACUAUGACAUUUUAAGUGUGCAAACUACAUUGCGGAUUAAGUUCGAAUAAUCAACUACUGGUGGUACGUGAUCAAUAAGAAAUCCUCACGUCUCCUCAAUUUCACCAAGCAAAAGAAUAAUUGAGGUACGUAGUGUUUUAGCACAUCAAGAUUGACUUCAUAUAUAGGAAACGCAAGCAAUGUUCCUACUAUAUCCAAAGCAAAAACCUUAAUGAGCAACACAGGUCAAGUCAAGCAGCUCAACCCUAAACUAUAUAUAUUUGUUUCUUCUUGUAUCUGAUACUUACUCCUAACCCCCUUCCUAUCCAUAAUAAGUUGAACUACUGGCCGAAGUUCCUAACCAUAACCUGCUGAAAUUGUUGGCCAAUUGCCAUAUAAAUACACAAGAAUCCAUUUACCAGUUCCACCAGUGUAGAUUUAUAUUAGUCCAAUUACCUUCAAGUUCCUUCAGUUUCAGUACUCAUUUCCUGAUUAUUUAUUCUCCUGCAAUUUUGUUGAACCGUACUUGUCGUGUGCAUGGCAAGGAACCAAAAUAAGAUUGACAAUAGAAAGAAAGAACGUUGUGCGGCCCGAAUAUAGUCAACAGUACUUAACCCCAUCAACUCUCAACCGUACCGUACCGGUGGAAAUGCUACACCCACCCCAACCAUUUGUAACAACGUUAUUAACUUAAACAAUUAAAACAAAAUAACUCUCAUCCAUUUCAAUCUCCUAAUAAUUACCUAUCAUAAGAGCAAUUUUUUUUCCAAGUUGGUGUCAAAACCAAUAACCUAGCUAAAUGUUGUCUUAAAUUUAUCAGGUUUCGGAUAAUGUUAGUCGACAAUACAUGCAUGCGCCGAUGCGCGCAUAAAAUUACCUAUUGAUUUUAAAAUUAUUACUAAAUCACAUGCAUAUAUGAAAACGGUGAUGUAUUCAAGAUUUUGUUGAAAAUAUAAUUCUAGCAUAUAUCAAGCUACUACUUCACCGCCUCAUGAGCAUGUACAAUGCAUACAGCCUCCCUAGGCAGUACCAAGCAAUAUUGGUAGUGGGGAUUUCAUAGUCAUGUAAUAUCUCUCUCUCUCUCUCUCUCUCUCUCUCUCUCUCUCUCUCUCUCUCUCUCUCUCUAGCCAACUCCAUUAGGGGAAACAUUCACGGCGUCUCAUAGUAGUUGGUACUUGUCGAGUUGUUGAUCGAUCAUUACGGUAUUGCAAAUACAUACAACUAUUUUACUCAUUUGAGACUUUGUAAGCAAUUGCAGUUUCCAGAUUACUGCAUGCAGAUGGAGAUGCAUGGAAGAGAAAUGAGUUUCAAUGUUUCAUCAUAUCAUUUCUCACAUCAUGUAGCAACUUGUAUAUAUAUAACAUAAUUGUUGAUGCGACGGGAAAGGUCUAAAUACAUUUAAGUAGGCAAAAUGUGACUUUUGAAUGUUUAAAUGUUAGGCUUAUGUAAAGAUGGAGAACUCUUAAUAGUAAUUUCGAUAAUUUUUUAAAGGAUUUCGAUAUAUUUUAUUAAAUUAGAAAAGAAUCGACACUCAUGAAUUAGCAUGAUUUUAACUUAUUUUUUCUACUCUUCUAUCACUAUUAGGACCAAUUUAGAGUGUUGUUAGAAAAAACAAUUUAUUUCUUAGGCAUUAAGUUAUACGGGUCAUAUACGUACAUUUAUUAUAUAUUAUACAUUUCAUUAUUUCAUAUUGCCAUUCCGGCAGGGUGGUGCAGCAGUGAUGAUAUACACUUGACAGUGAGUUGGGCCUCUACCCAUUCAUUGGAUCUUGCUGGCUUUUAAUUUAUAUAUUUUUUAAUAUAUUUUUAAUUUCUACAUCCUGGGACUCCCUAGUCUCAAAUAAUUAAUCUCGCCAAUUCUAAUGCGGCAAAUAAAAAGAGGAGUUGGGAAGUUUUUUGUUCUUCUUCAAUUGGUAGCUCUUUCCUUUGAGCUCGCUUUUGGCGUAAUGGGGUCUUACGUCGUUCGUAUGCAAGCUCUUCUAUUUGGCCAGGGGUGAAACGUUUUUGGGCUCAAGUUCAAGAAAACUCAAGGUGGCUCAUUGGUUGUGGGAGAUCAGUACAUUUCUGGAGAGAUAAUUUCUUGGGUAGGCCACUUCUCAAAUUUUUUGGGAAUGAUAAUGCAGGUUUGGCUGCUCUCAUGGAUGGGUUGGUAGCUUAUUACAUUCUUAAUGGUGCUUGAAAUUUUCCCUCAUUGCUUCAACUGCAUUUUCCAGGCCUCUGUGAUUUAAUUAGUGGUGUUCCUAUUGCUUUAUCCCCAAAUAUGCCUGAUAAAUUGAUAUGAGUUCCAUCUGCAUCUGGUGAGCUAACUGCAAAGGAUGCUUUUCACUUUCUACGUCUGCGACUUCCUCAGACAAAUUGGGGUAAGCUUAUAUGGUCUAAAUAUAUUAUUCCUCGUAUCUCUAUUCAUUCAUGGAAAGUGUUACGAGGUAAGGUAUUGUCAGAAGAUGUGUUGCAACGACGGAGAUUUUCCUUGGCAUCUCGUUGUGUCCUUUGUGGCUUGGAGGGUGAAUCAUUGCUUCAUAUUUUUUCUCAUGCUCUUAUGCUUAUUCCUUGUGGGGAUGUUGGGUAUCUUGGUUUGAGUUGGGUGUUAUGCCAUCGACUAUUAUGGAUUUGUUAUUCUAUGGUUUGAAUGGUCGUAGCCAACAACUUAGAGAAUUGUGGCUGCUUUGUUUUACUGCUACCCUAUGGUUUAUUUGGAAGGCAAGGAACAUAAUGAAGCAUGAUGGUCGUUUCAUUGGUGUGGAUGCUUUACGUAGGCUUAUUUUGGGGUACAUACAAGCUGCUAGUAGAUUAGCUACAGGUUGUAUGUUCAACUCUUUGGAGGAGUUACGAGUCUUGAAAAAUUAUAAUAUUUCAUGUUGUCCACAUAGAACUCCUUUUAUUAUUGAGGUUAAUUGGCAUCCUCCAAUCCUUGGGUGGGUGAAAAUUAAUACUAAUGGUGCGUGGCAACGUGCAUCAGGACAAGCCGGAUAUGGUGGUAUUUUUCGUGACUUCCGUGGUAUUUUUCGUGGAGGCUGAGGUCAUGGCAGCAAUCCAAGCUAUUGAGUUAGCUAGCUUGGGUUAGAGAAUGGAAACAUAUAUGGCUUGAGGUGGACUCGACUCUUGUCCUUCAUUAUCUUCGGGAUCCUCAUCUUGUUCCUUGGCGGUUACGGGUGGCCUGGAGUAAUUGCUUGUACCAUAUAUCACAUAUGCACUUUCGGUCCUCUCAUAUAUUCAGAGAACUUAAUCAAGUGGCGGAUGCACUUGCUAAUAUUGGGUUGUCAUUGACUAGCAUGUCAUGGUGGGAUGAUCCUCCUCCUUCCAUCGUUGAUCAUUGUCGGCGAGAUGCACUUGGUCUCCCGAAUUUUCGUAUUUGUUAAUAUCUUUGUCAUGUGUUCAUUGAUGUUUUUUAGGUGAUUACUUAUUUCUCUACCAAAAAGGUUAUUUGUACUUUAUGGCUGAGAUUGGUCUAGUCCUCCAGCUUCUUGUUCCUUUUUUUUUAUCAGCCUCCCUAGGCAGUACCAAGCAAUAUUGGUAGUGGGGAUUUCAUAGUCAUGUAAUCUCUCUCUCUCUCUCUCUCUCUCUCUCUCUAGCCAACUCCAUUAGGGGAAACAUUCACGGCGUCUCAUAGUUGAGUUCUUGUUCUAAUUUCGCUAGAUAGGUAGUCGAAUCAUUAAGCGUCACAUUCACUAGUGAUGUAACAUUCUUCGUUGUGUAUUCUUGCUUGUCUUUGCUACUGUUCUACUAAUGUUCUAUCUUAAGCUGCUGCCUCUACUAACCUGUUGGUAAGCUUGUGUUGUGAAGAUUUUGCAUAUGCUUUUGUGUGCACAUUACGUCGCUGUUAAUUUCUUUUAGAUCACUAAUAUGAGAUAUAAACUUUGAUUAAUGAUGAGUGUGAGAACACGGUGACAAUUGCCACAAGAAGAUCGUUGUCGGUGCCUCAAAAUCGAUCUCAUUUCUCAAAUCAAAGAAGGAUUAAAUCUUCUCAGAAUCAGUCAUGUUCUUGGUACUUUUUCUUUCAACAUUGACAUUCCUAGUUCAGUAGCAGCAGAGGUGAUGGCAGUUAUAAUUGCUAUUGAGCUUGCUUGGGUACGAGACUGGAAGCACAUUUGGUUAGAGGUUGACUUGUCGCUUGUGUUAGACUAUCUACAGUCUCCUUUGCUUGUACCUUGACAUCUACGUGUCCAUUAGCUUAAUUGUUUACGUUGCAUAUCGGAGAUGAUCUUUCGAUCUUCUCAUAAUUUUUGUGAAGGGAAUAAGGUUGCAGAUGCUCUGGCUAAUUACUGUACGUCAUUAACACAGCUGGUUUGGUGGGAUUCACCUCCCUUUAUUUUGUCAUAUUGUAGUAUUGACCUUAAUUAUGGGUCUUCCACAAUUUCGGUUUUCUUAGUUUUGUUUUAUUGUUAUUUUGUUAUGAGAGUUUUUGGUCUAAUCCCUCUCUCUUGAUGUUUCUCUUUUCUUUUUUAACUCAUAAGAGUGUUAGAGGGUCAUUCCUCUCUCACUCAUCUUUCAGACCAAAAAAAAAAAUCUUCAUUAGUCAAUAAUAAUGAUUCAAAAAUCAUGUCUUAUGUUUGGUGUUCAAAUCACUAAUCGAUCAUACAAGUGAUGCGUUUAUUCUUUUCGAUCUAGGUCUAGCUAGCUAUACGAAUUUUAAAUCCAUAUUGUUUGUGUUAUGGUAUCAAUUGUGCUCGUACACUAAACCAUUGAAUCGAGAAUCCUCUGCGUAUUGGAAUCUUUUUUUCUUAAUAUUAAUAAAUCCAUUAUUUCCUUGAUCGUGAUCUUUGAGCAAAACAAAUUCUAAAUAUAUAUGAAUCAUGGAGUAUUGGAGCAACGGUGGUUUAGGUGCACCGCGAUUUCUUUUGCUACAAAUGGAAGGAAGAGUUAGCUAGGGCUGGCCAGCUGGACAAAACGGUCCAACUACCAGAGCCCAACACUUCUGGACAGAAAGCACCAAACAACGACUCCAGCUACUAUGUGACACCGGAACCCACCAGGGCCCACACCCUUCCUCCCCCUUUCCCUUCCCUCUCUUUAAAACCUCGCGUGGCUCUUUCCAGACCCCAUUUCCAGCUGUGUAUAUAUACAAAGCUUUGCUGGUAGCACUGAGAUCAUUAUUAGCUCAUGAUAGUUCAUCCUCACCACUACUACUACUUCUACCGCUCAUUCACAUCUUUCUCUCUUCCCAAACCCACCUGAUCUUCUGUAGGAUCUGUUUUAGGUUCCAGAAGCAGCAGCAGCAGCUAGCAGUAGUAGUACAGUAGUACUCUGCGGUUAGGGUUUUAGUUAUGAUGGAUGUACUGUUCGAUCAUCAUCAUUUUCUCAGCGAGCGGGAAACUCCGUCGUCGGAGAUGAAGGUUUCCGUCGGCUCCGAUUACAAGCAGGGUUGGAGUUUUCCUGAAGGUGAGGGAAAAGGGUUUGUUGGGUCGAGGACUACUGAAGCUGAGCUUGUUUCGUCGUCAGAGUCGACUGAGGAGGACGACGAUUACAUUGCUGAGUUGACUCGCCAGAUGACUCACUACAUGCUUCAGGACGACGACAAACACGCUCUCAAAACCAGUAUUACUAGCUCCGAGAAAAACGAAGAGGUGAGCUUUGAGAUAAUGAUAUGUUCCAGAGUUGAAGUUGGAUUAGAACUUCCGGUAGAUAAGGUCGUUCUAAAUAUUAAUCUUCAUUCUUCAAUCAUAUUAAUGUUGUUGCAGUCGUGGGGUUGUGUCGGUUGGCAGAGUAACUCGAUGACGAUGUGGUCGCCGUUGGGAUCGAGCAAUGGAAGCCCAGAAGGUCCAUCUGAGGAGCCAUCGCCGCCGGUGACGCCAGGCAAAGACAAAGCUUCGGAGCAUAAAAUUCCUCCGUCGUACGCCGCCGUUUUGUGCAAGUUGGACAAGUUAGAAACCAACAAACAGGGAAGACCAAGUGGAACUACCCAAGUAGCUGAAGCUGAAAAUCCAAAGCAAGGUGUAGCUUUUGAUCAAAGCCAAGACUCUAAGGUAGGAAUAAGUUUGAUUGUUAAUUAGUUAUGGUAAUUUGUUUUACUAUUCAUACACCAAACAUUCUACUUGCCUAAUUUGGUGUCAAUUAUCUUGUAGAUUAAUUUGAAGCUAACGCAAGGGCGAAGUACUAAGAAGCAAAGCUCAGUAAAUAAUGGUAGACAACCCAAGCAUAUUACUCAUCAGACAUUUGAGUCCUACAACCUAAACCAUAAGAAAGUAGGAUGUGAUGCUAAUGGCGGAUUAAGGACUUCUCCACCUAUUUCCACUUUGUCCUCAACCCCGUGGCUGAACAACCAGCAAGGCCCCUCAAAUAUGAGGGCGGUCUUCCUAGGUGGGUCGGGCGGCGCCGGUGCUAGAGUUGGGACGCCGUCUUGUGGGACUGGUGUCUUCUUACCCUGUGUUAUUGGUAACACAUCUCAGUCACCCAAGAAUAAAAGAGGUACUGAUUCAAAGCCUUUGUCAAUUUUUUGGGGUUGGUUUUAGAUUUUCCGGUGGCUUUUAGCCGAAUGUAAGUUUAAUUUGGAGGGGUUUCUUGGUCGUUGUAGUGGUUGGGGUUUGAAGUGAAAUAUCACCUAUCCAAUAUGUGAUGAUAUUUGGAUUGGUCGUAUGUGUGAUGUGUUUUGCAUCUUUUGGUGUUUGACUGUGGAUCUAGAUUAGGUUCCAUAUUAUUGAGGGAUUCCAUUAUUGAGAUUCCUUGUGAUCCCGAAUAUAUACUGGCCAAUCUUGUUGUUAGCUUGUGACUCGUGUAAAAUGGAAUCUUCCCAAACCUCUCCUAUGGUCCCCUUGGCUUGGGGUUUAGCUCCUUGAGGAAAUUGAUUUUUUUUGAAAUCGAGGAAAUUGAUUUUGUUAAUGGGAAUUUUUAAAUAAAUUCCUCAUUUCUUUUGUCAACGUCCCUAAUAUUCUUCCUCUAGUAUAGAUUUUCAUGAAAUGUUCAAUAAUUUGUUAUUAUUCUAGUUCAACCACUUUCCAUAGUGGUUUGUUAGUUGUAAGCUUAGUCACAUUAAAAGAAAGUAUAGUAAAAGACUUGCAAUGCAAGGGCGAGAUUAAAAUUGUUUGGAAGAUGAAUGUUGUGGUUUUAGGUUGCCUAAAAUUGUUUUUCUUGUUCAUUUCGGGUUGCUUUUUGCCAAUCUGUUAAUUUCAAGGAAUUCUUAUUAACACUAUGAAAAAGUAUUUGGUACAGUGUUUACAUUAGCUUUAUAGUGGCGACGAAAAUACGUAUUGUAUCGUCAUAUGUAUGAUUGAACACAUAGAUUCUGAUUAAGUAUAGACGGUUUAAAUAAACACUCUUUGUAAAUAUCAUUACCACAUAUCGAUCGCGUGCCGUGAAUGAUAUGUUAUAGGUUUUUUUAAAGUUAUACUAGGUCUAGGUGUAAGUGGGUCGUUUUCAUGCUUGUGUAACCCUAGUAGCUAUCAAAUUUAGAAUUGUCCUUAGUUUACCUCUUUGGUACAUUGAAAAGAUCCUUUCUCAAAGCUCCUAAGACGUUGGCUUUCUCUUAUCGAUUGCAGGAUGUGCCCCUGUUCUAAUACCCGCAAAGGUAGUACAAGCCCUGAAGGUUCAUUUUGACCGAGUCGGUGACCUACCUCGACAAAACCCUACUGCCUUCCCCAUACAAAACGGUACAAAUUACCUUGUAGAUCUAACUAGAUCUGUACUUCAUAUAUGCCAAAGUGUUCCCCAUUCUCUGACGUCUCUCCUAACUCUUGCUUUGUUCUUUUGUGUUUAACACUAUCAGAUUCCUCAAAGAGUGGAAGGAGGACAAGCACGUCUGCAAAUAGAAAGCGCCACUCGAGAGGAGCGGCACCACCGCCGGACAUGAACAACAAUGAGAUGGGUCUACCUCAAGAAUGGACGUAUUGACUUAGCCAAAGCUAAAGCACAUGCCUGUGCUUAUUAUUUCAUCACCCGCCUACAAUGUUGCUAAUCUCUCGUUUUCACUUAUGGUGGUGUCACUGUGAUGCUUUGGCUGUGUUUGUUUCGUAGCAAAUACGGAAAGGGGUUAAGAUUGAAUAAACUCAAUAAAGAGAAAGAUGAUGACAGACACAAUAGUCGGUCAAUUAGAUAUGUAGGGGAAUCCAUUAGAUCAUAGAUUACGACAAACAAAUAGAGAUUCACGAGAAUAUUAUCUUCUAUCUUCUUCUUCUUCUUCUUCUUUUUCCUCUCUUUUAUGAUCUUCCAGAAAUUAAACAAUAAGUUUGAAUUUGUCUGCUGCAGCAGGCUGGGAUUGAAUAGCUUAACAAAUGCUGCUGUAAAGCAUGUGGAGAAGUAAUGCUUACAAAAUAAGUCCAUAUGAUCGACAACAAUCACAACACCAACAACAACAACAUACUAUACACCAACUCCCAACCACCGGAACUGAUCGCGCAGAGCCGCAAUGCUGCAACACCGAUAGCCUUGCAAAACUUUCGGAGGUCCAAACACACUACUAUACAUCGUGACAUGCUAAUCAUAUCUACAAAGGCGGGCCUAACCCAAGCAACAACAACUAAGAAAGCUCCCGUGUCAUACCUAGCCUCCUCAGACAGAUUUGUGCUGCGGGAGCCGUCUUGUAACCAAGUCCUACUAGAUGUUAUGCCCUAUCUAAAGAAGCAAACGCAAUACCAACACUACCAAAAACAAAUCCGAUCAACAAAUGCCGAAUACAAUCAUAAUAUAACCGGACCUAACAGAAAAAAAAAAAAAAGUAAAGAAGAAGAAGAAGAAGAAGAAGAUAGAACAGUCAUUUAGAUAACUAAAUCACACGGCGUAUUCAAAUAAAAUCACCGUGUCAACGAAAAUUCGAUUGCAUGACUGUUAGUGUUGUCUCGUAAUGUUCUUUGAUCCGAACCCUAAAUAUUAGCACAUCACCCGUCGUUAGAAACACAGAAAAGUAUAAUGCACACGCAGUACAAUAGUUUGCAUAUUCCCUAGUGUCAUUUAAUAUGAUAGAGAUAUGACGUGCUAAUCGGAGCUCCAAUCAUCUUCAAUAAUUCAUACAGGGCAACGGAGAGCUUAAUUUCCUGGGUACUAUACUUGGUUGAUCAUCUUUUCGAUUGUGAUGGUACUUGUCGAGUUGUUGAUCGAUCAUUACGGUAUUGCAAAUACAUACAACUAUUUUACUCAUUUGAGACUUUGUAAGCAAUUGCAGUUUCCAGAUUACUGCAUGCAGAUGGAGAUGCAUGGAAGAGAAAUGAGUUUCAAUGUUUCAUCAUAUCAUUUCUCACAUCAUGUAGCAACUUGUAUAUAUAUAACAUAAUUGUUGAUGCGACGGGAAAGGUCUAAAUACAUUUAAGUAGGCAAAAUGUGACUUUUGAAUGUUUAAAUGUUAGGCUUCACUACCAGGACAAGCACUUUAGCCGACGAAAAUUUUUCGUCGGCCUGUCAGCUUAAUUCGUCGGCUAAGAUUUCGUCGGGAAAAGCUCGUCUGUGGUGACUUUAGCCGACGACACACGUAUAAGUCGUCGGCUAUAGUCCAUACUUUAGCCGACGAAAUAAUGUCGUCGGCUAUAGUCCGGACUUUAGCCGACGAAAUAAUGUCGUCGGCUAUAGUCNNNNNNNNNNNNNNNNNNNNNNNNNNNNNNNNNNNNNNNNNNNNNNNNNNNNNNNNNNNNNNNNNNNNNNNNNNNNNNNNNNNNNNNNNNNNNNNNNNNNAUUAGCGCCUGAGAUUUUGUUCUCUUGCUAGGCGGUUCCUGAUCUGGAUCGGGGAAUAUGGUCUCGGUCAGAUCCUUAGCAAUGAAGGUCUGUUCUAUGUCCGAGAUCCAACGAUGGUACUCAGUACCAUGGGCGUCGAGGACGUCAAAUUCAAUGCCUCUAUCCAUCUGCAUACAAGAGAGUACAAGUCGUAUUAGUUUUCUGUUAGAGACCCUGAAUAAGGUACUCAAAUACGAUGCUUUUGGUUUGUCUCUCUAGGGUUGAUCAAACACAACCCUAAAUAUCCGGAGUCGAUCAAACACGACCCGGAAAAAACUUAUGUGAAGGUGAUCAAACACACCUUCAAAAUAGCAAUAACCAAAGUUGAUCAAACACAACUUUGGACCCGGGGAGGAUAACCGGGAUUUUUAUACCUGCAAAGACACCGUCCCAAGCAUAGAAUGGAGAUGAAGAAGAGGAGAAAGCACUUUAUCUCCCCCGAGGUUAUUUAACUUUGAAAAGUUUUAGGGUUUUAAAGUGAACAUACCGUAAAACUUGGAUGCUUGAUCGGACGAGAAAAGAAGCAGUAGAGCGGACGGCCGGGGAGCGGCAGUCGGUGGGGCAAUCUGCGGCGGCGGCCGAGGGUUUCGGCUUUUGGUUUUAGGGUUUGGGAGAAACUAUUAGCUCAAGGGUUUGAGCAAAGGGCUGAUAACGUGAUGAAGUGAAAGUAAAUUGAGAAUAGAGAAUCGUGAAAGAUGUGUCUCAUUCAUUGAUAGGAGCCCUUUAUAUAUGGAAUUACACAUUACCAGUAUGGUAAGGAUAUGAAUACAUAGAUCUAGUCUAACUACAUAUCCUAUUGGCAUAAGGCAAAGGCACACAUAAAGAAUAUCCUAGAACAAAAAAGUAGUUAUUCCUACAUCAAUAUUGCACAUAUAUAUGGACGUGAAGAACUUUUUCUCAAAAUUAAUAGAUAUUGAUUAUUGAGGUAAAGCCCACUUAAAGUGCAACAAGAUCUAUCCUAUCUAGCCAUUUAGCAGAUUAUUUUGCCAUAUAUUUCAUGAAGUUUUAUCAGAUUUCUUGAUGUUGGCAGUUUGAGAUUUUUUGGCUGAAUUUAUCUAAAAUGCUUCAUGUCCAUUAUUUUGAUGGUGAAAGAAAAAUUGUUUUUUUCUUUGUAACCAAAAAAGAAAAACAAAAGUUGUUUUUUUUCUAAUUUAUUAUGUUUUUUCUUUGAUCGGUUCAAUGUCUUUCCGUACAAAUAGAUAAAUCCACGCGCGAGCAGAAAGGUUAGUAUAUAUAUCUUUAUUGAACAAUGGUUGAAUAACAAUGGGGAUCUGGGCCUAUCAUCUCACAAAAAAAAGAAAAAAAAGGAGAAGAACAAUAUGUGGCCUGUAAAUAUAAAUAAAAUAAAUGAAGAAAAAUAUAAUUUAUUUUGGCACUCUCGUUACGAACAUCAGAGCCUUCCCAAUCAUUAAACUCUCCCUUCCAAAAUCGCAACCCUCAUCACCUGCAGCAACUUCAAUACCACGAAUUCAGAUAUUCCAUUGUCCUUCUUAGGAUUCAACAUACAGAUGCAUGUGCCCUGCUUGGUGUCUUUCAUGUGCUGAACCUUUAUCCUUAGCCUCUCAUCCAUCUGUACAUAUUCCUUCUGUAGCAAUUGGCUUGCUUUCUCUACCUCUCGCUCAGUUAACUCCCAAAAUGUUAAUCCAUAUUCGAGCAAAUUAGUAGACCAGAUGCCCAACCGGACAAUGUGUGGAUUUGCCACAUUCUUAGCAUCGUAGGCCAUGUUUGCCGAAGCGUAUUUGUAUACGGUAGUUUUUUCAAUGUCAUUGGGGAAUCCGAUAAAUAAAACAGUAGAACUUCAAACUCCUCCAUAACAUACUUGAUGAACCGUCUCAGUUUCGCAUCAGGCAUCCCUUUGCCUGUUAUAAUUAAUGACAGGACUCACCCUGAAUUUCUGUAAUACCCUAGAUUUUCAUAUCAUUUUUCCUUGUAUUAUUCCUUUAAUUAAUGAAGGAUUAUUCAUGAAAAUUCUUGGGUUUAUGCGAAGUUGAAGUUCGGGAGUUUAUUUAAAGUUGCCUUGACUUUUAAUAGGCCAAAAGUUGACUUUAUUUUCCGUAAGUUAUCUUCGAAAACUUCCUUCAUGAAAGUUGUAGAGUUUGUCAAUACGAGUUCGUAGACAUGCGGCACGCCUGAAACGGACGUCGUAUGAAGAAGUUAUGUUCAGAGGAAGUUUGUUUCCGGGUUUGAAAAGAGUAUAAGUAGAAAAAUGUGUGUGGGAUGUUUUGGGAACCCUAAAAAAAAACAAAGNNNNNNNNNNNNNNNNNNNNNNNNNNNNNNNNNNNNNNNNNNNNNNNNNNNNNNNNNNNNNNNNNNNNNNNNNNNNNNNNNNNNNNNNNNNNNNNNNNNNNNNNNNNNNNNNNNNNNNNNNNNNNNNNNNNNNNNNNNNNNNNNNNNNNNNNNNNNNNNNNNNNNNNNNNNNNNNNNNNNNNNNNNNNNNNNNNNNNNNNNNNNNNNNNNNNNNNNNNNNNNNNNNNNNNNNNNNNNNNNNNNNNNNNNNNNNNNNNNNNNNNNNNNNNNNNNNNNNNNNNNNNNNNNNNNNNNNNNNNNNNNNNNNNNNNNNNNNNNNNNNNNNNNNNNNNNNNNNNNNNNNNNNNNNNNNNNNNNNNNNNNNNNNNNNNNNNNNNNNNNNNNNNNNNNNNNNNNNNNNNNNNNNNNNNNNNNNNNNNNNNNNNNNNNNNNNNNNNNNNNNNNNNNNNNNNNNNNNNNNNNNNNNNNNNNNNNNNNNNNNNNNNNNNNNNNNNNNNNNNNNNNNNNNNNNNNNNNNNNNNNNNNNNNNNNNNNNNNNNNNNNNNNNNNNNNNNNNNNNNNNNNNNNNNNNNNNNNNNNNNNNNNNNNNNNNNNNNNNNNNNNNNNNNNNNNNNNNNNNNNNNNNNNNNNNNNNNNNNNNNNNNNNNNNNNNNNNNNNNNNNNNNNNNNNNNNNNNNNNNNNNNNNNNNNNNNNNNNNNNNNNNNNNNNNNNNNNNNNNNNNNNNNNNNNNNNNNNNNNNNNNNNNNNNNNNNNNNNNNNNNNNNNNNNNNNNNNNNNNNNNNNNNNNNNNNNNNNNNNNNNNNNNNNNNNNNNNNNNNNNNNNNNNNNNNNNNNNNNNNNNNNNNNNNNNNNNNNNNNNNNNNNNNNNNNNNNNNNNNNNNNNNNNNNNNNNNNNNNNNNNNNNNNNNNNNNNNNNNNNNNNNNNNNNNNNNNNNNNNNNNNNNNNNNNNNNNNNNNNNNNNNNNNNNNNNNNNNNNNNNNNNNNNNNNNNNNNNNNNNNNNNNNNNNNNNNNNNNNNNNNNNNNNNNNNNNNNNNNNNNNNNNNNNNNNNNNNNNNNNNNNNNNNNNNNNNNNNNNNNNNNNNNNNNNNNNNNNNNNNNNNNNNNNNNNNNNNNNNNNNNNNNNNNNNNNNNNNNNNNNNNNNNNNNNNNNNNNNNNNNNAAUAUUGGAUGUGAUAAAUGUUGUGUGUUUUUUUGAGUUUACUCAUACGAGCUUUUUAGCUUACCGGGUGUGUUGUUUACAACCCGGUGCACCAUUUCUUGGUGUAGGGGUUAGACCUGCAGGUGAGGAUCAGCAGGGUUGAGAUGGAGGUGUAGUGGCAGGGUUUUUUGUUGAGUUUUGGGUGUGUCUUUGUAUAUUCUUUUAUAUACACGGGGAUAGGAAUUAUUAAACUCAUGUGAGCGUUUCCUUUCUUGUUCUCAAGUUAUGUAAACAAGAAAAUGUAAUAUUUAACUCAAUUUGGAGUUAUGUGUAAAUUUACAUUUCGCAUUGAGUUUAUUUUCCUUGAUUUUUGUUGAAACAGGUUUUGGGAUAUUAAUAUUUUAGGAUAUAUCAUGCCAAAAUUUUUGAAAUUUAUCUUUCGAAAAUUGGGGCGUGACAAUUUCACCCUGAAACCCGAGGUAAAUCCUUCGAGGUCCACUUCAGAGGAAAAUUUACCGAAAAUUCGGUAUAAUCUACCUUGAAAAUGGACAACCCUUACCUGAAAAAAAUCCAACUUACACUUCUAUAAACAAACAAACCAGCCUCAACAACUAGAGUUUUCCUGCUCCCUAAGUUCAACACAUCUCCCAAAAAUAUAACAAGCCAUAAUCAAUUAAUUACUAUCUCAAAUGGUUAUCAGAGCAUAUCUAUAAUGAAAGAAAAACAAUGAAUAAAGAAUAAGCGGAAGCAGCCUCUGACUAUGCCUUGACUCCAUGUACGCUUGACCUUACUUACACUUAGCCUACAAACUGGGCAUUUAAAACCAAAGGACCCAGGGGAAAGUAAUUUAAAAACGUUAGAGUGAGCGAACAAAAAAUAAUCAAGUAACUGAUCGCAACAUAACUAAUCAAACUUAAUUACUUUCCCAUUUUCCAAUAAUCAAGAAAUCCGUUGCAUGCAAGUGUUGAUAAAACUUUCUUAAAGAAAAAUCUUAAGAAAACGGACUAGCCCCGCUAGUCAAAUUAACGACAAAGAUAAAUAAUAACCUUCGUAAAAGAAAGUACCAAAAUAACAGACUAGCCCCGUUAAUCAAAAACAACAUUAAAGGUUAAUAAAGACCUUUGUAAAAUGAAAUAUCGAAAAGAUGGACUAGCCCCGCUAGUGAAGACAAUAAAUAUUAAAUAAGAAGCAGCUAUAGCCAUACAAGUGAGCCUCCUAGGCUCGGGUGCCUCUCAGGCAAAAGUACUCCCAUACUCCCUACACCUUCACGUUAUGAUAACAGAGAGGGUGCAGGGCUUGCGUGAUGUCGUCGAUUACAUCACAUCAUUCGAAGGCGGAAAGCGCUUGAGUAACCCCACUUAAAAUGUGGAAGCCACAUCGCCUCGAAAGGCGGAACAACAUGUUAUCAUUAGUAAUAUAUUAUCUGACAAGUAUGGCAUAAAUAAAGAAACAUAAAUCCAUGUGAGUUUCCCCGAAACUCAUAACUAAAACAUAAGUACGAUUCCCAACCGUACUCAAAGAAUUCAAAGAGCAAAGAAAUUAAUUAAAUUCAACGAUGUGUCCCACACGUAAAAUGCUCAAAGAAAUAAUUAACUUAAAUAAUUAUCAUCUUUUGAAAACCAGGCAAUAUGCAAAUCUGAUAUAAUCUCAAAUCCGGAAAUCAUAAUGAAUAUUAAUACUCAAAUACCAAAUCUCUAACCCAAGCUCAAAUCCAUAAGUUUAUUAUCGAAAACAUAACCAAUGUGUCAAUCCCAAAUAAAUUCCAUAACCAAUAUGCAUGCCAAUCUCAAAUAAAUUCCAUCAAUCAUGGCAAAGAUUAAUCAAUGCAUCAAAAUCAAAUAAAUUCAAAGACCAUUUCAUAAGCCGAAAUUACAAUUUAAGCUUGGAAAAAUAUAAUGGGCAACUUAUAAAAUCAUUCAUGCAUAUUAAUUAAAAUGUUCACUCACAGUGCUCGGUUAUGCCUGCCGACGAUCCGAGGCUUCCUCCAAACGAUCCUCCUCAUGUCCUGAACAAUAAAUAAUAUUAAGUCUCUGGACUAGGAUAAUACUUUAAUAAAAAUUUCUGAAAUAAAAGGAAGCCUAUAAUCUCAUCUCCCUUGCCCAACUUCUCCACUCUUACUUUAUUAAGGCUCACAAUUCACCACACACACCGAUAGCCAUAAAUUAACCAUUUUAAAGUUUAACUCCUGCUAAACCAACUGUCGGAUUUCUAUUCGAAUAAUCGCCAAAAACCUAUUGAAAAAUCCUAAGACUUUAAAACUGAACGGUCAAGAUGGAAAAAUGUGAUAAAAAAAUGGGUGCAAUAAACGAUUAAUGAGAAAGUCUUUAAUUAGUCAGUAACUUAAUGGUCCUCAUUAGAACUACUCCCUUUAAUUUAGAUUUUAAAAAGUCCUUAAAAGUUUGUGUAUUUAAUCAGGACUCUAAAAGAUCCGUCUAAAUCUAGUGGUAUUCAAAUGUUAGUUGAUUUUCAAUGAUUCUUUGAUCUGCUAGAUUUUGUUGGAUUCUAGGGUGCUUGGUAUAAAUACCAAACCUCAAAAGAAAUCCGACCUCCACAAGUAGAGAUUUUCUCCAUUAAAAUCAAAGAUGAUUAAACUGGCGAUGAUGAAUCACGACCUCAAUGUUUCUCUAUUCUUUGAUAACAUAGGUACUUUCUCAUUAUGAUUUGGGUUGUUGUGCUCUUAGGUUUUGGAGAUGAAGAUGAACUCGUCUUGAAUGCCCUUUGAAUUCUCUAUAUUCUUUGAUAUCUUGUUGUGUGUUAGUUUUGUUGCGUGACGUUUUUUAUGAUAGCGUUGAUUGAGGGAAAUUUUUACUUGGUGGAUUUUUAAGAUUAUAAUUUUGAAGCUUAUUAGAUUAGUAGAUGUAUGUAUAUGUUCAAUGAUACGUGUUGUUGCUAUUUCGAUGAUGCACAAUUGGUUAGGAAAGAACUCAGAUCAAUGUAAAUGACUAAAUCCUUUAAGCAAAAUCAUGGGAUUUGAUUCAUUAUUAGCUCGUCAAAAAAAUUGAUCAUGUAGUUGAAGCAUAGGAAGCUUUACUUGUGCAAGAAUAAUCAUAGGACUAGAGUCCACCAAACGAAUUGAUCAUGGUUUCAUGAUGCACAGAGCACAGUUGGGUUAUGUACGUGUGUUGCUCGUUCGGAGUUCGAAAGGUAGUAGAAAAGGUUCUUUAGUUUUGCAAAACAGUAAGGCUUUUUAACCAAAUUGUUAUUCUAGCUUUCACCUUAGUGUCAACUUGCUACCCUAGCUUUUAUUUUAGCCAAUUUGCUACCAUAGGUAUUAUUUUUGCCGAUUUACUACUUUACGUUUGUUAGUAUAUUGGCUAUUUCUAUUCAACACUAAGAUCUCCUAAUGCAUCUAGGAAAGGAAGAGAUCAAGGAAGAGGUAUUUUGAGCUCUAAUCAUGGAUCACAAGGUAAUGUUUUGUCAACCUUCUCAUAUAUGGUAAGUUAAUCUCUUUAUUAAUUAUUCAUUUGGAUUGAGAAAAUUUUGGUGAAAACACGUGUAUCUAGGUUUUUCCUUAUCAGAUAUAUUAAGGUGUUUAUUUGCAGAAUCUUGAUUAACUUUAGAAUAUCUGAUUUGUUUUUUUUCCAAAUCUGGUACAUUAGAAUAGUUAUCUGCAUAAUCCUUGGGAGUUUAAAUAUAUUUGAUCAUUCAUAUGCAUGAACAUAAUGAUUGUUAUCUAUGAACUAAAAGCUUGAUCUGUUGAAUUUUUGUUUGCUAUGUUAUAGCAUGAAACUGUUUCAUGAGUUUUUGGAAAGUGCAAGAUAACAGUGAACUGACUACAUCUUUCUAGAAACGAAAAUUGAUCUUCUCAUUGAAUUGCAUUAGUUGAGGGGGAGUGUCAACCUCUAUAAAUUGCUUCUGUUGUGGUAUGUGAAAAAUGAGUUUUUUGUGAUUGAUCAGAGUUCUUGAUUUUAGAGUUAAUAUUGUGUAUGAUCAAUUUGCAAACUGCUUGAGUGUGUUAUUCCAAAGACUGAGACUUUCUCUCUUACUUGCAUUCAAGUUGCACUUGAGAUUGCUAAAGCAAAGGUAUGGUGAGAGAUUGAAGCUGGUUGUGUUGCAGAACUCAGCUAACUGGUUGUGUGAAAGAACCAAAGUAUACUGAUUGUGUGAGAAUCAGUUUGGAAGAAACUAAGAGUGUUUAAGUCUUAGAUUUUGGAUCCUGUAUCUAGUUGUAUGUAAGAACUAGAGAACUAAGAGUGAUAUUAGUCUUCGUGCCUUUGAUUCAGUUUCUCUUUUUAGAGAUACAUGAGUUCAAUUCACUUGUGUGAGAAGUGAGUAUUGUAAAUCAGAUUCAAGUGUUGAUAGUUGUGUGAGAACUAUUCCUCUUGUAAAUUCUGCAUUGAAGAUUAAUUUGAAUAAUCUUGAUUGGUGCCUUUUCCCUCACUGAGGUUUUUGCAGUAAUCCAUUGAAAAUCUGUGUCUGUGUUUAUUUCAUUUGUGUUUUAAUCCAUUUCAAUACUUUCAUUUGGUACCAGAGCAGGUGCUAGUAGGUUUCUAGCAGAUCCACGCUUGGAAUGGAAAGAAAUGCAGUAAAUCAACCGCCAAAGUUUGAUGGCGAUGAUUUUCCUCAGUGGAAGAUCAUGAUGAGAACCUUCAUUUAUACCUUGGAUGCAAAGGCAUGGAAAAUUAUUCAAUCAGGUUAUAAAGCUCCAGUUGUGAAGUCGGAGAAUUCAUCUACAGUUCAAUUAAAAUUGGUCGACUUGUGAUCAGCAGAUGAACAAGCCUUAUGUAAUGUUGAUUAUGUUGCUAGAAAUGCAUUAUUCACUGCACUCGGUGUCAAAGAGAGAAGGCGUAUUCAGUACUGUGAUACAGCUAAGGAAGCUUGGGAUAUGUUAGUCACUGCACAUGAAGGAAGUGAGAUUGUAAAGAUUCAAAAACUUCAAAUCCUUGCCAAAGAGUUUGAAAAUUUGAAAAUGGGUGAGGAUGAAAUGCUAGAUGAUUUUUACACAAGAGUAACUAACAUUACAGGUUAAUUCCAGAGCUUAGAUGAACCUUUUGAAGAACAUAAGGUGGCGAAAAAGUUUCUCCGAACUCUUCCAAGAAAAUAUCUUCCAAAAAAGGCAGCUAUUAUGGAGGUACAUAAUUUGAACAAUUAUUCACUGGAGGAUCUAGUAAGUAAUCUGAAUACUUUUGAGCUAGAAAUGAUUUCUGAUAAUGUGUGGUCUGAUAAGAAACAAAAGAGUGUAGCUUUGAAAAAUUUUUCUAAAGUUGAUCAGGAAGAUGAAAAUCUUGAUUAUGCUCUUUUAACAAAAGAAUUCAAGAAACUUUUGAAAUCUAGGAAUAAUCAAAACUCUAGCUCUUCUAGAAAUUCUUAUGAUUCAAGAAGAAACAAAAAUUCUGAAAAUCGCUUUGAAAAGAAUAGUAGAGGUCAUAACAAAUUUGAAAAGAAAAAUUAUAGACCUAAAUGUUAUGAAUGUGAUGGCUAUGGUCAUAUUUCUACUGACUGUGGUAACAAGAAAAAUGGAGCAAGUGAAAAAUUCAGACAAAAAGAUGUGAGUGAGAAAAAGGCUUUCAAAGUUACUUCCUGGAGUGAUAGUGAUGAAGAAAUCUCAGUCAGAAAAGGAGACAGAAAUUUUGCUCUUGUUACUUCUGUUGAAUUUGAUUCUUGUGAAUUUUCUGAUACUAACAGUGCAUAUUCUAGUGAUAAUGAUUUUUUUGAUAGGAGGAAACUAGAUGACAAGUAUGAACAACUUUACAAUGCAUCAAUAGGAUUGAACAAUAAGAAUAAUGCUUUGAACAAACAGGUGAAGGAUCUCCAGGAACAAAAGGAGAAGAUUGAACAAAGUCUGCAAUUUGAACAUAUGCCAUGGGAGAAUGAAAGAAGUGAAUUGAAAAAUAGUGUGCAAUUAUUACAAACUGAAGUUGAAAAUGCUAAAAUAUUGAAAAAUGGGUUGUUCUGCGAUAAUUGUGUGAUUCUGGAAAGUGAUUUGAAUGCAAGAGAUAAACAGAUUUCUGGACUAAAUUCUGAAAUUGAUUGAUUGCAGGUUGAUCUAAAAAAGUCAAGAGAUAAGUUCAAUCAAUUUCAGACAAGUUCAAAAAUAGCUUCAAGUAUUUUUGGUGCAGGCAAGGCUCACAAAGACACUUUUGGUCUUGGUUACACUGGGGAAAGCUCAAGCAAUACAAAAUUUGUAAAAGCUGAAAAGGAAGAAAGAUCUCUAUUACAAACUAAAGAUGUUCAACAGGUAAAAAUUGAGAAACCUAAUUCAAUUGAAAAAAGGUAUGUUUCUAGAAAAUCCUUUGUCCCCACUUGUUACUAAUGUGGUCAGAUUGGACACAUCAGACCAAACUGUAUCAACAGGUCUUUUCAUUCAUCUAAAAAUUAUGAAAAAUUUUGAUAAAUUUGAGAUGUUGCAGAAAGAAAUGAAUGAUCAUAUGAAUCUUAUUUGUUAGAUGUCUGAUAUGAUUUCUGAAGAAAGAAUGCACAAAAUCAAAAACAGAUUACACAGCCCAAACCAAUGUUUUCUAGUAAAAAUACAAUUAUACCCCAGCCUUAAUAACCGCUUCCAACCCUCUCCCACCGAACCCAUUCCGAAUUCAAUUCCUUCUCAACAGUUCUCACCACUUCACUCCAUCGACGCCGCUUCGCUGCUUCAAUCCAUCGACGUCGCUUCGCUUUUUCAAUCCAUCGACACCGCUUCGCUUCUUCAAUCCAUCGACGCCGCUGCCUCACUCCUCAUUCCAUCAAGACCUCAGCACCCAUCCCCGCGCGCCGCUUCGCUGCUUCAGUACAUCGCUGCCGCUGCUUCAGUACUUCACCGCCGAUGCUUCACUCCAUCGCCGCCGCUACAUCGCGCUAAAUUCUUCUUUUUCAGGUGAAUAGAAACCCUAGCAUAAAUCUGUGUUUGUACCCCUAAUAAUGUUGUUUGGGUUCAUAUUUCUCUGCUUCAAUGUGUUUUAUGGCAAUGUAGAAACGGUGUGGCAACUUUACUACCCUUAGUAGGAGAUUACUAUGGGUAGUAAACUUAAGUUUUUGGUAUGUAUAUUUAUUUUUCUUUCAUUUGAUCUCUAUAAUGACUGUGAGGAUACCAUCUGGAAACUUUCAUGUAAAUGUAAUACCUUUCAUAGAGUAUUUUUGAAUGCAAAACAGCAUUAUGUGUUGCUAUCGAAAGUUUACUACCCAUAUAAAAUUGUUUUUUUUUAGUGCAAAACAGCUUAAUAAAUAGCUUUCGAAGGUUUACUACCAUCAGUAAUGUGUUUUUUUAUGCUCUGAAAACUUUACUACCCCUAGUAAAGUAUGCUUUAGGGUGCAGAAUAACAAAAUAUGAUGUUCUGCAAACUUUACUGCCCCAAUAAAGUAUGUUUUAGGGUGUAGAACAACAAAAUCAGAUGCUUUGGAAACUUUACUACCCCUAGUAAAGUAUGUUCUAGGGUGCAGAACAACAAAAACUGUGGUUCUGGAAACAUUACUACUCCUAGUAAUGUAUGUGUUAGGCUGCAGAAUAACUAGAUCUGAUGCUUUGGAACAUUACUACCCCUAGUAAAGUUUACUAUGGGUUCUAAAAUGUUAUUUAUAUCUGUUGGUUGAUCUAAGGUUAAUCAUAUUUGUUUUUUAAAUGCAGAAGGAUGUGAUAGAGCAUGAAACAAUGUUGGAACUACACAAGCUAAAUGGAGGAACAACUGGAGACUUCAAAAGUGGUUAUGAACUCCGUAUGGAGGAAAACUUCUAUAACCCGCUUUGGACCCUGUUUGGAAAGCACAUGAGCUUGUAAAUUGAAUUAUUCCUAGAUAGCACAUAAUGGAAACCACUUUGAACAGCAAACUUCCUCAGUUUAUCUCUAAAGUCUGCAAUGCUCUCAAACUUCUGCCCAGCAUGUGACAAAUAUGAACCCCAUUCAUCCGACAAAAAAAACUUCUGAGGUCCAUCCUUAAAAGCAUCACCUAGAUAGUCAUUCUCAUCUAUCAUCUCAGCACAAUCAUCAACCACUACACUAGUUGAUGAACAACUUUUCCCGACAUCCUUGACUACUGUCACUGCUACAUUAUCCAUAUGAUAAAUUUUUGCACAGCAGAAGAGCAUCUUAAAAUCAGAUUCAUUAUCUAAAUAGAUGGCAGAACAAGCAGGCGAAAAAUACUCUAGGUGAAAAGAAUCAUUGGAGGAAAGCUUAAAUCGUUUUCGGAUGGAUUGAAUAAGGUCUGAAUAAUUCAUGAGCUCAUUGAGGAGAAGGACAAAGCCAUUGCCUGAAAAAACAAAUUGAACACACAAAGAACCAACAGUGUUCCUGCAAAAAAAAACAAAAACACACAUGUCCAUAAGUUACUACCCCCAGUAAAUGUCAAUUUCUACAAAAACAGAUUGAAAAACAUAAGUAAUAUGCUAGAAGUACAAACAAUAAGCAAUGAAAACAACAAUUAACCACAAUUAAAAAACAAAAACACACAGAUCAUAAUAUUACUAUCCCCAGUAAAUGUCAAUUUCUACAAAAAUAGACUGAAAAACAUAAGUAAUAUGCUAGAAGUAUAAAAAAAAGCACAGCAAAAACAUUAAAAACAACAAUAAGAAUAGAUCGCAAACAUUACUACCCCCAGUAACAAGUCAAAAAAAUCCAGAAAUUUUCGAAACAACAUGCAAACGAAGUGCAUUCAAGAAGCGACCUAUAAUUCAACUAAAAACAUAAAGAAAAGUGGAAUUGAAGAGAUUCAAACCGAGUAGGAACCGAAGAGCAAACCAAAGCCCGAUCUAGCUCCAUUUACUACGUAAUUCUGCUACGAGAAGAGAGGUUAUGCUAUCACCGGAAAACCGCGACGGAAAUUGGCUCGAAAUCGCCGUCUGAAACAACGCCGUCGGUCCUCUCUGAAACACGAGCGCAAGAUCGCUCUCUCUCUCUCUCUCUCUCUCUCUCUCUCUCUCGUAAACUUUCUCUCUCUUCAAAACAGAAAUUUGAAAAUGGAUCUCGUCUGGUAUAUAUAGUCCACGGGUUGAGGGUAUUUUCGACAGAAAAAACUGUUAAAAGUGGGCCCAUUAGAAAAGUUUUGUCUAAUAAGGCACAUUUCACACACCUUAUAUUGAAGUGGACACAUUUCUUUUAAAAACAUUUAAAUGGGCAAAAGGAAGCUUAAAUUAGUACUAAAAUGUCAUUUACUCGUUAUUUAAAAAGUAAAUUGUUGUAUGUGCAGGCCAAUAUUGAAGAUGUUAAUGUUUCUAAUAAUAAGAUAAAGGUUGCAAAACUAGCAAGGUAACUUCUACAAACUGAUGCUUAUAGAAAAAGUAGCUAAGAGAGGUUGAUUAAUAAACAUGUUGUUGUACUUGUGUUGAUUUCUCAGACCCCUGGUUUAAGUAUGAAAUUUUGAAUUCACAAUGUCCAUUUUGAUUGCUUGUAAUAUGAAGUAUUUUGCAAUAUGCAGACAUAGAAUUAUGUUAGUGCAGAGUUUUAUAUAUAUAUAUAUAUAUGUUGUACCAUUAAAUCUUGAUCUUUAUAACCAUAUGAUGCUCACAUGGCUUGCAAAUCACUUGCAGUUCCAUUGCAAUUGACCGUCGCAGCAAGUCCACUGAAAUAUAUGUGAGUUACAAAUUAUUAUUAGCACUCUCAAGUACAUAUAUAGUUUCAACAUAUCAUUGCUCAAAGGAUAAUGCUCUUCAUAUUAUUCCCUCUGUUUUGCUGAGAUACGAUUCAUUUGUAAUAAAAUUCUAAGUCAAUGAUUUUUGGGCACCUAACAACUCCCUUUUCAUGAGUAUGGUGUUUUGCCUUUUUGAUAUAGUCUGUGUGAACAGGAAAAUUGAAGAAAUCUCUUCUCCAGUGUUGAUUUGCAAUGAAGGGCCCAUGUUUUGGGUACUCAAGUCUGCAGUCCAGUGCAAUGCUUGUAACUUCGCUGACAUUCCUCAUCCUACUUUUAGCCGUGAGUCCAUGAUCCUGUUCCAUUAUCAUUAUCACACACUACCAAAAAUAUAAGCAAAAACCAAUUUUUUUUUCCCACCGCAAAGCUAUUAUGAUUAUUAUUGUCACACACUGGAAAACUAUUAUGAUUUGAAUGACAAUGUCCAAUAUGAUGCAAUGCACCCUGAUAUUCUGAGCCUUUUGCAAUAUGUAGUUAGAGAAUAUGUAAGUUUAGGCUUGAAUUAUAUACUUCUGUGUUCAUAAUAUGUAGUCUUUUGCAACUGGGCAACUGGGUGUGUUAUCAGAUUCUGUGUUCAAUUUAAGCAGAUGUUACAUAAGAGAGAUGUUGUUUGCUUUGUGUUUGAAGCAGUAUGUAUGACUCAUAAAUUUCUUUAACCUUGCAAGGUGACAGCAGGAAACCUGCAGUUGGGGCUGAGACUUAGACGAGUCUGGAGGCACAGUGAUCAUGGCAAAGGUGCAGGAAGAGACUUCCAGUAAUUGAAAUUAUGAUUCAAUUGGUACAGAGAAGUUCUCAGUUAAUAUGAAGCUGUCUGAUGAGGUUAUUAGUGAGCAGUCAGGUUAUAACAUUUAGUGUGUAGAUAUAGUGUUUUUCAAUUCAUGUUUGUAAUUACUGACCUCUAUUGUGUUUUCUCAUGUGGAACUGAGAGAUUUAAUAUAAUGGUUGUUAUCAAAGAAACAAUUUUACAGCUCCAUGUUCUUGUAUUAAUAGUUCUUGUGCUCCAUGUUCAAUUACAACUCCAUGUUCUUGUAUUAAUAGUUCUUGUGCAAGAUGGGCAUUUGACAAUCUUUAUUGAAUGUAACAGUUCUUUUUCAAUGCGUUUGAUUCCUUUUGCACAGUUUUUGUCCAAAAAAAAAAAAUCUGGCAAGCUAAUAUGCUUUCUAGAUUUUUUUUUAAUUCAUAAAUAGAAUUUGCCACGGCAAGUUUGCCGUCGCCAAUGGUUGAUUUGCGACGGUGGAAGCAGUCGCUACUUGCCGUCGCCAAAUAAGCGACGGCUUUUUGCAGUUCCUGCCGUCACAAAAGAGGUGGCGACGGCUCGUUGCCGUAGCCAAAAGCAACGGCCACGUCCUCAACGACGACGGUAAAAAUGUCGUCGCGAAGUCGUUGCCGUUGCUCUUUCGCGACUGCAGAGCGGCUUUUGGCGACAGCUUUUUGCCGUGGCUAACCGAAUUCUUUUUUGUAGUGUCAGGAAGAUGCUUUUUCUUGGGAAACAAUAUGGUUGCCUGGAACAGCAAAAAACAAAACUGUAUAUCUUUGUCUACAACUGAAUCAGAAUAUGUAGCAGUUAGUAGCUGCUAUACUCAGAUGUUGUGGAUGCAAAAUAUGCUAAGAGACUAUGGGAUGACUCAAGGUAUGUUUACACUUCUGUGUGACAACACCAGUGCAAUCAACAUCUCCAAAAAUCCAGUACAACAUUCCAAGACUAAGCAUAUUGCUAUCAUGUAUCAUUUUAUCAGAGAUCUAGUUGAGACAAAUAUUCUAAAAAUGGAAUACAUUUCUACUACUAAACAACUUGCUGAUAUAUUUACUAAACCUCUUGUUACUGAUAGAUUUGAAGAACUCAGAAAUGCUUUAGGCAUUUGCAAAAAUCCUUAUCUUCUUGUCUAAUCUCUUGUAAUGGUUCUUACAACAUCUGUAAAGUUUGUAUUUUGAUUAUUGAUCUUAGCUUUAUGAUGUGUAGAAAUCAGAUGGUUGUGCAUGACUAAACAUGGUGUGCGUCUGGUUAAUAUUUUUUUUAUGUCUGUUUGCCUUGUCAAGAAAUAUUUUUUUUGGUGCCAGCACACACACACAUUAGACAUGAUAUUUCUCAGGAAAAGAACUGUCAAAAAGAGAAAAUUGUUUGCAAGCAUGAAAAAGAGUAUGACCAAAAGCUGACUGUUUGUAGUAAAUUUGCGGCCUCUUUAAAAAGGUGAUAUGCAUGGAGGUUGAUCAGAGCCGGUUUGGGCUCAAAUGAUCAGACACUUGAGUAUUGAUGCCUUGGGAUAUCUCUUGAAUAUCUAGUACCCUAAAAUCAACUGAUUUGGGAGUUACUGCAUUUGACUUGCUCUAUAGGUGUUCAAAAUAUGUGCGAUAAAAACAGAAAAAUCUCACUUUCAGCUGUGAUAAAAUUAUUCUUUGUGAGGCUAGGCUAUUCCUAAAGUAACCAUGUCUUGGUUGUGAUGAACAGUAUGAGGCACUAGGGGAGAAACAAGAAGGGCUUAGUCACUGCUUGGUCUUUGUGGUUGGAAUGAACAAAGUUGGUUGUUGUCUGAAACUCUUGUUGAGAUAAGAAUCAUUUCUGAUAAUACUCAUGUCUAUUUUUAACUGUCACUUGGUAAAAAAAUUCUUUUUCUGCUGAGGCAAACAAGGAUACAAUUGAUUGCUAUUCUUAUCUCUGUUUAGUUAUGAACAACAUAGAAAUUUCCUCUACUUCAUUGUGUGCUUUGCCUUGAUCAUUUACUUGCUUUACUGAUGAGAGGCGAUCCUGAGUUAGUUUCAAGGACUGCAGUAGAGAUUUGCAUAUGUUUUUUUUUGCAUAUUUUGAUCUUACAAAUGAUGUGGACAUAUGAUAUGGGCUUUGAACUGAGUAUCGCAUUUUUUGGUAGUAAAUCUUGCUAAUUAGGCCCAUUGUUAUUACAUGCCUUUUCAGGAACCGUCAUUCCUUUUCAAAAUCUAUCUCACUUCUCUAUAAAACAGUGUGUUUGUCUUUUCAAUAUCUCAAGCUUUUAUUUCACUAGGGUUUGCGUUUAGUGUGCAGGGAUCUCUCUCGCAAAAUUUGAUGGCCAACGACAAGCAACCAAUGCUUUCAACUUUUUCUCUAGCCAGGAUAGGGAGGAUAGUUAUUCCUCCCUCUCCCUUAGAUGAAUCAUCCUUUCCUCCUCUCUCUCUCCAAGGCUUCAUCCAGAGUUUCACAAAGCAAAGACGUUUCCAGGCACAUAGUAUGAAAGGAAACCAUGGCGUCCUAUGGUGCCUCUAGAGAAUGACUCCGAUCCUGACAAGAUAGCUGUUUAUCUUGAUUCUUUGGAGAAGGUGACCAAUGACUGGGCACAAGACAUUCAAACUCAAAUUGGCGCCCUUACUGAAGCAGUUCUGAUCAUGGGAACCAGAAGAUAAGAAGGACAAUCCUGAUGACAAACGUCAUGAAUGGGGAAAGUGGUAAUCAUCUCUUUGGCAUGCUAUUCAGGGGAAGAAGAAGAUCAAGACUUUUGAAUUUGUUUUCUUUGUGUUUUUCUUUGAACAAGUUUGUUGGUUUGUAAGUGCCUAAGCACUAAACAAGUUUGCUUUAUGUCUUUAAAUUAUGCAUGCGGUUAUUUGAUGAUUUGUGUUUCUUGAACAUUUUCUUAGAGAUUUGGAAAAGGAUGGAAACUGAUUCCACAAGAUCUUUGAGUCUAUUUUUUUUAUUUCAUCAAUAUAGAUGUGUGUUGUUAUGGGAAGUUUUUGCAGGUCUUGAUCUAGUGUUGAAUAGCAAUGUCAAAGGGGGAGAAUGUUAGUAUAUUGGCUAUUUCUAUUCAACACUAAGAUCUCCUAAUGCAUCUAGGAAAUGAAGAGAUCAAGGAAGAGGUAUUUUGAGCUCCAAUCAUGGAUCACAAGGUAAUGUUUUGUCAACCUUCUCAUAUUUGGUAAGUAUUACUCUUUAUUAAUUAUUCAUUUGGAUUGAGAAAAUUUUGGUGAAAAGAUUUGUAUCCAGGUUUUUCCUUAUCAAAUAUAUUAAGGUGUUUAUUUGCAGAAUCUUGAUUAACUUUAGAAUAUCUGAUUUGUUUUUUUCCAAAUCUGGUACAUUAGAAUAGUUAUCUGCAUAAUCCUUGGGAGUUUAAAUAUAUUUGAUCAUUCAUAUGCAUGAACAUAAUGAUUGUUAUCUAUGAACUAAAAGCUUGAUCUGUUGAAUUUUUUGUUUGCUAUGUUAUAGCAUNNNNNNNNNNNNNNNNNNNNUGUUGUGGUAUGUGAAAAUGAGUUUUUUGUGAUUGAUCAGAGUUCUUGAUUUUAGAGUUAAUAUUGUGUAUGAUCAAUUUGCAAACUGCUUGAGUGUGUUAUUCCAAAGACUGAGACUUUCUCUCUUACUUGCAUUCAAGUUGCACUUGAGAUUGCUAAAGCAAAGGUAUGGUGAGAGAUUGAAGCUGGUUGUGUUGCAGAACUCAGCUAACUGGUUGUGUGAAAGAACCAAAGUAUACUGAUUGUGUGAGAAUCAGUUUGGAAGAAACUAAGAGUGUUUAAGUCUUAGAUUUUGGAUCCUGUAUCUAGUUGUGUGUAAGAACUAGAGAACUAAAAGUGAUAUUAGUCUUAGUGCCUUUGAUUCAGUUUCUCCUUUUAGAGAUACAUGAGUUCAAUUCACUUGUGUGAGAAGUGAGUAUUGUAAAUCAGAUUCAAGUGUUGAUAGUUGUGUGAGAACUAUUCCUCUUGUAAAUUCUGCAUUGAAGAUUAAUUUAAUCUUGAUUGGUGUCUUUUCCCUCACUGAGGUUUUUGCACCAAUCUAUUGAAAAUCUGUGUCUGUGAUUAUUUCAUCUAUGUUUUAAUCUAUUUCAAUACUUUCAAUGUUUUCAAAAUUAGCCAAUUUGCUACCUUUUUUGUCAUUUUAAUUUUUUCAUUUCUGAAAAUCGAAGCUUAAAGUUGGUCAAUAUUAAAAUUUCGAUAAGUAAAUUGGUUAAUCUUAAAACUCUAAAAUAGCAAAUUUGAUGGAAAGGGUAAUAAAUUGGCUGAAAUAAAAUCUAGGGUAGCAAAUUGGCUAAUUUAGAAAAUCGAGGGUAGUAAAUUGGCUUAAAUGAAAGCUAGUGUAGCAACUUGGCAACUAUGCCAAAGAGUAAAGCAAGGGUUUCAAAAGUAGGAAACAAUUUUGAUUCUUUAUGUUGGGUCUAGAUCCCUCUACUUUUGUCUAGCUCCAAUCCUUCAAAAGAGUAGUAGAACUGAAAUAUCACUAAGAAGCAUAAAAUGGAACUCUUAAUAGUCGUAUGAUUUUUUUAUUGUGGUAUUUGGUAUGUUAAGAUAUGGACAAUCUUUCUCUUGUCAAGGUUUAAUGUCAAGACUCACCCCGAAUUUCAUCCUGAAACUCGAGGUAAGUCCUGCGAGGUCCACCUCCAAGGAAAAUUUACCGAAAAUUCGGCAUAAUUUACCUUGAAAAUGGACAACCCUUACCUGAAAAAUUCCAUAUACACUUCUAUAAUAAACCAUCCAAUCUCAACUCCUGGAGCCUUCCUGCUCCCCAAGUUCAUAAUAUCUCCCAUAAUACAACUAGCUUUAAUCAAAUACUAACUAUCUCAAAUGGUUAUCAGAGCAUAUCUAUAAUGAAAUAAAAACAAUGAAUAAAGAAUAAGCGGAAGCAGCCUUUGACUAUGCCUCGACUCCAUGUACGCUCGACCUCAUUUAAACUUAGUCUGCAAACUGAGCAUUUAAAACCAAAGGGCUCAGGGGAAAAUAAUUCGAAACGUUAGAGUGAGUGAACAAAAAAUAAAAUAAAUAACUUAACAAAAAUAUAAUUUAUAUACUUUUCCAUGUUUCAACUUUAAAACUUGGUUGCACGCAACUUUGAACGUCCUUAAAACUUUAAAUCCAAAUUCACUUAAUAAUGGAUAAACCAGCCCCGUUGGUUAAAUAAAACAGAAAUCUCAAAAUGAGGGAUAAACCAGCCCUGCUGGUUAAUCAAUUAUUUAACUGAGAAAAAUAAAUAAGGGGAAGAGUUAUCACCAUGUAAAAGGAGCCUCCAAGGACUAAGUGCUAGUUAUGGAAGUUGUUGUGCAUGUUGAGAGGAUUGUUGUGUUAAAAUUUGGGAAGCGUUAGAGGUCGCCAGACUACGGCUGCCGGUCGCCGCUGCCCGCGGAGUAGGCGGCGGCGCCUCCCCUUAAGGGUGGUUUUAUAUGUUUUUGAGCUUGUUUUAAUGAGAGGAGUUUAAUGAUAUGAAGUUUGGAAUUUUUGGAGGAGUUUUGGUUAGGUUUGGGAUUUUUCAAAGAUUGAGAAUUUUGGUGGUUGUUAGAAUGAAAAUCGGGCCGUUGGAUUUCCUUGGUAUUUAUUCUGGAAUGUUAGAAUCGAUGAAUUAAGGUUGUGGUGGAGUUUGGUGGGAAUCCGGUGAGCUUAACCCUAGUGAGGGUUGUGAGAUAAGCGGAAGAGUUUUGGUGUCUAUAUUUAAGUAUUUAUUUUUUGAAAUUGAAGUUUGGUUCUAAGCAUGGUUAUUGUGCCAGGAUAUGAAGGGAACCUCGUGUGAGUGGCGAUGCGGAUAUCGUCGGGCCUAAAUUUGUGAGUGGACAUUUUGGUUUUUAAUUAAUAUGCAUGCAUGAUUUUAUAAGUUGCCCAUUAUAUUUUCCAAGCUUAAAUUGUAAUUUCGGCUUAUGAAAUAGUCUUUGAAUUUAUUUGAUUUUGAUGCAUUGAUUAAUGUUUGCCAUGAGUUAUGGAAUUUAUCUGAGAUUGACAUAUUGGUUAUGUUUUCGAUAAUGAACUUAUGGAUUUGAGCUUGGGUUAGAGAUUUGGUAUUUGAGUUUUAAUAUUCUUAAUGAUUUCCGGAUUUGAGAUUAUAUCCAGAUUUGCAUAUUGCCUGGUUUUCGAAAGAUGAUAAUUAUUUAAGUUAAUUAUUUCUUUGAGCAUUUUAACAUGUGGGACACGUUGAAUUUAAUUAAUUUCUUUGCUCUUUGAAUUCUAUGAGUACGGUUGGGAAUCGUACUUAUGUUUUAGUUAUGAGUUUCGGGGAAACUCACAUGGAUUUAUGUUUCUUUAUUUAUGCCAUACUUAUCGGAUAAUAUAUUACUAAUGCUAGCAUGUUGUUUCGUCUUUCGAGGUGAUGUGGUUUCCACGUUUUAAGUGGGGUUACUUAAACCCUUUCCGCCUUCGGGUGAUGUGAUGUAGUCGAUGACAUCACGCAAGCCCUGCACCCUCUCUGUUAUCAUAACGUGAAGGUGUAGGGAGUAUGGGAGUACUUUUUCCUGGGAAGCACCCGAGCUUGGGAGGCUCACUUGUAUGGCUAUAGCUGCUUCUUAUUUAAUAUUUAUUGUUUUUGACUAGCGGGGCUAGUCCAUUAUUUUGGUACUUUCUUUUACGAAGGUUAUUAUUUAUCUUUGUCGUUAAUUUGACUAGCAGGGCUAGUCCGUUUUAUUGGGAUUUUCUUUAUGAAAGUUUUAUCAACACUUGCAUGCAACGGAUUUCUUGAUUAUUGGAAAAUGGGAAAGUAAUUAAGUUUGGUUAGUUAUGUUGUGAUCAGUUACUUGAUUAUUUUUCGUCCACUCACUCUAACGUUUUUAAUUUACUUUCCCCUGAGCCCUUUGGUUUUAAAUACCCAGUUUGCAGGCUAAGUUUAAAUGAGGUCUAGAGUACAUGAAGUCGAGGCAUAGUCAGAGGCUGCUUCCGUUUAAUCUUUAUUCAUUGUUAUUAUUUCAUUAUUAGAUAUGCUCUGGUAACCAGUUAGUGAAUUAUUGUCUGUUGUUGGUUGUGGGAUUAUUUUAGAUGAGUAUUCGUUUUAUUGGGAGGUGUGUUGAGCUUGAGGAGCAGGAAGGCUCCAGGUGUUGAGGCUGGUAUGUUUGGUUAUAGAAGUGUAAGUUGAAUUUUUCAGGUAAGGGUUGUCUAUUUUCAAGGAAGUUAUGUCGAAUUUUCGAUAAAUUCUCCUUGAAGGUGGACCCCGCAGGGUUUACCUCGGGUUUCAGGAUGAAAUUCGGGGUGGGUCCUGUCAUAGCAUCAUCAUUAGAUUUAACAAUGAUCCCUGACCAUGACACAACAACCAGUUUUUCAACAGUUUGAAAUUUUCAGCAAAUCGACCAAAAUUUCAAACAUUAAAAAUUAUAGUUUCCGCCCUCCAAAAUCACAAGAUCGUUAGAAAAAUGGAGCGUUUCGGCUAUCUAAAACUGAAGCAAAGCCAACUUAGGUAUAGCCAAAACACGUUACAUCUAAAACUCUUAUUAUCCUUAGCAAACAAACUUUGGUCACGCUAUCAGAACCCAAAAGUCCAAGACUUGUAUCAACUAACCUAAACAAUGCCGCUUGAACAUUACUAUGGGCACCCAACCUCACUUCUCUAAACAAUCCCUGCGUCUUCAGUUAUGUCAUACACUGAAUUAUUCCUCAACUCCUUUGGCUCCCAACAUACACACAUUUCAAAAUAAAGAACUCCUUUCUGAACAACCACACCGCACCUAAAUUUCUAACUUUUCUAGUGACCAAGGUCACUUGAUAUUAGAGUUACCUAGAACUCUCAAAAUUCUCAACACGAUUCUUCACUUCUCCCCUUGUAACCGAAAUACUCAAGAAUAAGAAUGAGUUGGUCCAGGGACUAGCGGGUACUAAACUUCUACACUAUAACUAGGCGUCCAAAGCAAAUAGCUACAUUCUCAUGUCGCCACUUGAUUUACCAAGUUCAGUCAUCAUGAAUCAAAUUCUCCAUCUGUUGCUGUAAGCCGGAGCAGCCACAACCAUCUCGCAUCCGCUUUACUAUUACAAUUUCAAAGCCCAUUAGACUUACAAUCCAUCUAAAACACUCAACAAAAGUAGGAGAGCGAAUCCCACAUUACAGAUACCAAACCUAAAUCGACCAAUAACAAUUACAGAAAUCGAACUUCAAUGCAUAACCAAACUUUAAUAGCCCCAUUUAACACAUCCAAUAACCUCCACAAUUUAAUUAACUCAAGCAAUAUCACUUUACUAUUUAUCUCAAAGCAAAACAACACACUUGCUUAACUCCCUUAUAAUAUCUCUUAUUCCAAUACCAACCUUAACUAGAAAUUGCUCAAUCCUUCGUUCACAAGCAUGCCCUUUCUAUUAUUAAUAUCCGCAAAAAGGCUCAACUCGCCACUUAAAUAAAAGUCUACAACUCAAUAAAUAAAUAAUAGAACACUGCAAAUCCAGGUCACUUCACCAACUCAUAACUGAACACAAAAUCUCACAAAUCACUUACCUUCCCCUUACUCGGAAAAUAACCAAGAUAUUCUUUGAGGUCGACGUACGGAGGAAUAGUCUUGAAGAUAUAGACAUUUAUGGCACAAUACUGUCCAUAAAUAAGACAAGAACAACUACCUCACAUACCUAAUAAACACAUAGCAUCUGAUGCAUAUAAUGCUAAUGGAUCCGCCGCGGUCGGACCAUCACUCUAUAGACACUAAGUAUCACCAAGUAUAUGAGGUAGUGAUACGAUUCGGAUAACCUAAGCUCUGAUACCAACUGUCAAGACCCACCCCGAAUUUCACCCUGAAACCCGAGGUAAGUCCUUCGGGGUCCACCUCCAAGGAAAAUUUACCGAAAAUUCGACAUAAUUUAUUUUGAAAAUGGACAACCCUUACCUGAAAAAUUCCAAAUACACUUCUAUAAUAAACCAUCCAAUCUCAACUCCUGGAACCUUCCUGCUCCCCAAGUUCAUAACCUCUCCCAUAAUACAACUAGCUUUAAUCAAAUACUAACUAUCCCAAAUGGUUAUCAGAGCAUAUCUAUAAUGAAAUAAAAACAAUGAAUAAAGAAUAAGCGGAAGCAGCCUCUGACUAUGCCUCGACUCCAUGUACGCUCGACCUCAUUUAAACUUAGCCUGCAAACUGGCCAUUUAAAACCAAAGGGCCCAGGGGAAAGUAAUUUGAAACGUUAGAAUUAGUGGACAAAAAAUAAAUUAAAUAACUUAACAAAAACAUAAUUUAUAUACUUUCCCAUGUUUCAACUUUAAAACUUGGUUGCACGCAACUUUGAACGUCCUUAAAACUUUAAAUCUAAAUUCACUUAAUAAUUGAUAAACCAGCCCCGCUGGUUAAAUAAAACAGAAAUCUCAAAAUGAGAGAUAAACCAGCCCCGCUAGUUAAUCAAUUGUUUAACUGAGAAAAAUAAAUAAGGGGAAGAGUUAUCACCAUGUAACUGAGAAAUUAUAAUAAAACUCAAUGACGUGUUUCACAUGUCAAAAUUUCUCAAAUUUAUAAAUAUAAGCGAGAUUUCAAUAUCAAAUAUAAAUCAUAAAUAAUAAUUUCUCCACUCGAAAAUACUCGCUAAAAUAUUCUCAAAGUCAAAAUCAUUAUGCCUCAAACAAACAAUUAAAUUAUGAUGGAGAACUACCGAAAAUCCUAUUUUCGGUAAUCAUUUAUAAAUCUCAAAGUCAUCAAAAUAAAACCGAUAAUAUUUAAAUCCGGAAUUUAUAAAGAAUAUCCAAACUCAAAUAUCAAAAUAAUAAUCCGAGCUCAAAUCCAUAAAUCAUGACCAACACUUGGUCAAAGCCUCAAACUCAAUAAAUUCAAGACCAUAACAUAAACCGAAAUUUUAAGAUAAGCUCGGUAAAUAAAGUAAUAAAUUAUAAAAUCUUGCAUGCUUAUUUAUUAAAAUCAAAGUGUCCACUCACAGUAUACGGCUAUGCCUGCUGUCGAUCCGAGGUCUCCCAACACUAUCCUCCUCACGUCCUGAACAAUAAAUAAUAUUAAGUCUCCAGACUAGAUUAGACCUUAAAUAAAUAUUUCUGAAAUAAAAAAGAAGCCUAUAAUUUCAUCUCCCUUACCCAACUUCUCCACUUUCAAUCUAAUAAGGCUCACAUUACUCCGCAAUUACCGAUAGCCAUAAAUUAACCAUUUUAGAAUUUAAAACUUGCUAAACCAACUGCCGAAAUUCCAUUCUAAUAACCGCCACAAUUCUUAACCAUUGAAAAAAUCCCAAACCUUAUCAAAACUCCUCCAAAAAUUCCACACUUUACUUCAUUAAACCCCUCUUAUUAAAACCCAUCUCAAAAACAUGAAAAACUGUCCUUAAGGGGCGGUGGCUGGCAGCCGUACUCUAGCGAUCUCCAAUGCUUCCCAAAUUUUAGCACAACAAUCCUCUCAACCCGCACAACAACUUCCUUAACUAUAACAAAAUCCAUUUCUAAGCCUAACUAGGUUAAUCGAACCAAAACCUUAAAUUGAGCCAAUUCCUUUUGAUGGAUUACUAACCUUGAUGAGAGCUUCAAGAUGAGCCAAAAAUCCCGAGCUAUGGUGGCCGGAGGAGGGAGCUCCGACGAAGGGGCAGUCGGGUCUUUAGGGGAGUUUUCCUCCUAUCUGACGGCGUCGCCGACUUGGACACUAGCCCAGGUAGCAAGAGGAGAUGACGGGGGUCCGAACGGAGCUGGUCCGGUGGUCUAUGGUGGCUAGAUGGCGGCGGACAGAGGCUGGGUCUCCAGCGGGUCAGGAAGAGUUCACGGGAGAGAGAGAAAAGGAAUAGGGAGAGAGAGAGAGAGAGAGAGAGAGAGAGAGAGAGAGAGAAGAAGAGAGAGAGAGGAGGAGUGGUGGGUGGGUGGUUGUGUUGGGCUUCUCCACACCUACCCGGUCCAACUUAAACACCAAAAAAAAUAAAAAUAAAACCCACUAAAUUUUACCCCCUUUUUACCAACUGAAAAAUUUACCCUGUUAGUUGAUAACUUUUUCAUGCUAACUCCGAUUUUAACGUAUAGCAUGUCUAUGAACUCGUAUUAACGUCCUCCACAACUUCCUUAAAGAAAUUUUUCCAAAAUAACUUUCCUACAUAAAGUCAACUAUAGGGUCCUUAACGGUAAACGGUUACUCAACACGGUAAAAGACCAAAAUGAUACUAAAAGUAAAUAACCAUAAAACAACUUAAGAACCGGGGUGUGACAUUUAAUCUCAUUUCCAAGUUCAAUGAUCAGAUUUUUCACAUAUUUGAAGUCUUCUUAAACUGUAGUGUUUGGCUUUUUUUUGGGUUAUAUAGCAACCACCCAGUACAUUAGUUGUUACAGAAACCACAUGAAUGAUGCUCUAUGUUUGCUAUAUUAAAUUCAGUUUACCCUAUUGUGGUUUUGAGGUGAAUUCAUGUUAGUCCCUAAACUUUCAAUUUCAUCAGAUUACCCCCUGAGCUUUUGUUUUUUUGGUAAUUUAGCUUCUCAACCCCCAAAACGUCAUCACACGUCAUCAAAUUUCAAUGUCCCAAUUGGAUGGAGCAUGAGUAAUAGGAGAUGGCAGACAGAAAAAUAAGAGCUCGGGAGGUAAUCUGAUGAAAUUGAAAGUUUAGGGAUUAACAUGAAUUCAUCUCUAAACCACAGUGGGGUGAACUGAAUUUAAAGCUCAUAUCUUCUUUUAUGAUAUGGUUCUUGCAACUCAAAGUAACUAAUAAUCAUCUUCAUUGAGGUAACUUAUUAGGACAUUGGGAAUGUUGCUGCUAUUCACUUGGUUUAAUUGGAUCCUUCUAGUUACAUACUUAGCUUCUCUGACAAAAUGAAAUUGCAAUACACAUGGUUAUGGUUUAGUUGCUUAUGUUUUUAGUUAAAGAACUAAUUAAGGGAACAAGUUUCUUAGUUGAAGUCUAUUCAUUUUUCCCUAGAUGUUUACUGCUCUUGUUACUAGAGACUUUUUGAGAAAAUACUUUGGUCUUGGAGGCCAUGACAGUUUUUCCUCAAUACCUUGGUAAUUAAUUUACUUAAUAGUCAAUUUCUACUGUGAUGAGUAUUGCCGUAUUGGCCCCUAAAUGGGCAGAGGUCAGGUUGGUACCAUUGCAAAGCUUCAAAGUACUUGAAAUCACAGGGUUCAUUCAUGAGAUUGAGAUCCUACUAAAAGGUAUGUUGCAAUUCCAUGAAUUUGUUGUUAAUAAGUAGUAGAUAUAUAUAUAUAUAUGUUAAUUAAUUUAUAAUAUUGUGUUGAUGGUAUGAAGUUGUUGAUGAUAUGAGUUGAUGAUGAUUUUGUGAUGAUGUUGAUAUAUAAUAUUGUUAUGUAAUUAUUAAGUAUAUAUAUGUGUUAAUUAAUUUGUUAUUAAUUAGUUGUAGUACGUAGAAUACUAAAUGAAUUGAGAUUUUAUAUAUGGAAUUUAAUUAAUAAUUAGCUAGAGUUAUACAUAUAUAUUUUGUUAUAUUUUCAGGAUAUGGAUAAGAGUUGGAUUUCUCUUCCAAAAUGGGACAAAAGAUAUGGUAAAAGAGUUAUGAAUUUUCUGGAAUAUGCGCUGGCUAAUGCUAACGGGAAUACAAUUUUCUAUUGCCCGUGCACGAAAUGUCAGUGUCGUAGCGAUAUGCAUCGAUUUGCCAUUGACAAAGUAUGGCAGCACCUGAAGAGUAACGGGUUUUGGGAGAAGUACACAUGUUGGUUAGAUCACGGUGAAAUAUCAUCAGGGGAUCCGCAUGAUCAUGGCCAAUUUUCUGAGACAUCCAACGAUCCAACAACGGCCUUCACCAACGACAUGUUUCCUUAUGAGAGCGGUGUAUGCGCUCAAGGACAGUAUAUACCUGAGCCGGUGCAGCCCUUCCCUAGAGCUGUCAACACUGCUGGUAUUGACAAGUACAACAAACUGCUUACUUUCCAACAGACCCUUGUGUACCCCGGUUGUCAGAAGACCGUUCUUGAAAGUGUGAUGGACGUAAUGAAGAUUAAAGUUGAGACAAAAUCGAUCGUGAAGGCUGUUGAUGAUUAUCUACAGUACACUGCUUCGAUGCUGCCCCACGGUCAUCGUCUUCCUACCACACUCGUCAUAAGGUCCGAUGUAUCUUGAAAGAUCUUGGGCUUUCCUAUAUCAAGAUCCAUGCAUACAGAUAUGAAUGUGUUCUCUUCUGGGGUAAAGAUCCAGAAGGGAAUGACCUUCGUGGCCUUGAUGCAUGUCCGGUAUGUCACACUGACAGGUAUAAACUGACUCAUGCAGGCAAUAGGAAACCUGUGAAGGUACUUCGGUAUUUCCCGUUGAGUGGUAGGCUGGAGCGGUUGUACAUGUCUUCACACACGGCCGAAGCUAUGAGAUGGCACGCUGAUAGGGAAUUGCAUGACGAAGAUACCCUUAUACACCCUGCUGACGGGGAGGCUUGGAAGCAUAUAGACAGGGAGUUUCCUCAUUUUGCGUCAGAGGUCCGAAAUGUGAGGCUCGGGCUCUCAUCCGACGGGUUUAACUCUUUUGGCAACAUAAGUCUUCAAUAGAGUGUAUGGCUGGUGAUUUUGGUACCGUACAACCUUCCUCCAUGGAUGUGCGUGAAGAAGGAAUACAAUAUGUUGAGUUUGUUGAUUCCGGGGCCCGGUUAUCCAGGAAAGUGUCUCGAUGUGUAUUUGAGACCUUUAAUUGAGGAGCUUAAGUUUUUGUGGGACGUUGGUCAUCCCACUUAUGACAAGUACAUGCACGAGAUGUUCCAGAUGCAUGCCAUGGUUGUUGGUACCAUCAGUGAUUUUCCUGCCCGUAGGAAGUUGUCCAGAGUGCCUUAGCGAUGAGGGGAGCAGCAGUCAUUGCAACAAGAUAUGCAAAUUGGGUCACCGUACUCUCCUUCCAUAUGAUCAUGAAUGGCAGUUCGAUGCACAGAUAUUUGAUGGGACCGAAGAAAACGGUGUGCCUCCUAGAAGAUGGACGGGGGAAGAAAUUUUAGCAGUGCUUAAUGAGUACGAUUUUGGGCAGCUCAGCAAUCAUCUCAAUAUUGUGGCGGUAAUACCUGAAAGACCCGACAAGUAUAAAUUCUGGACAUAUAAGAGCAUAUUCUGGGAACUCCCAUACUGGAGAUAGAAAAGAAUGUUUGCGACAUUGUGGUGGGCACAGUGCUGAACUUGGAGGGAAAGACGAAAGACAGUCCUAAGGCACGCAUUGAUCUAAAAAAAAUGCAAUUAAGAAGACAUCUGUCGUUGAAAGAAGGGAAGAAAAAAAUGCCUCAAGCUCCUUACACCGUGAAGCCUGACAAGAAGAACGUAAUUUUCAAGUGGAUGAGUUAUGUGAAGUAUCCUUCAGGCUAUGCAGGAAAUAUAGCCCGGUGUGUGAACUUCUGGGACAAUAAGAUGUUUUAGAUCGACGAAGGGUUCGAAGGGCCAAAGGUCCGAAUCGUCUGAGGGAACCUCUAGCAACCCUCAAACAUCAUUUCGGGGCACCAUGACAGCCAGACGUGCGACCCUUCUGGAGACGGCGCAGAGGUAGCCGGAGGUGCCCCCUUCAUCGAGGCAGCGGGGCCUCCCUCAUUCCUCGAGGCAGCUGUGGCCUCAGACCCAGACGGAGGUGUCUGCACCCCGUAUGCCUGAGAUACACCGGGCGCCCACUCCGGGUCCUACUUCUUCAGAUAGUGGGUCAUCUGGGGUACAGAUGCCGCCGCCUCAUCUGUUCCUUCCGCGGAUGAUACCGGCCUUACCUGCAGUCGAUGGCUCAGGGACGCUGAUUUAUCCACUGCCCCCUCCAGUGGCUCCAUUAGCGGCGUACCGGUUCGUGCCUUUUGAUACUCCUCUUAUUUCCGCGAGGGUAUCAUCAUCGGCGACAGAGAUGGAAUCCGUCGCGUCCGCCGCAUCGCCCUCAGGUAAUGAAAAAUGAAUGAUUCGUUUUCUUAUAAUUAAUAAUAAAGGGUCUCUGAUUUUAAUAAUCAGUUUGGUUUAUCAUGUGAUAGGCAUCGUCGGAGCGAAGCCGGCAAAGAAGAAGAGAGGCCCCGUCACAGGGAAGGCUCUCGAGAAGAUCGUCAGUACCUCAGAGAGGAUCGUCAUCCGUACUGACGGGGAUGGCGACAUAGUAUUGAGCGGGAAGUCGAGGACGUAUUCCGGCCGCGUGGGAGCACUCAUUAGGGAUAGAGUCCCUAUGUUGUGGUUAGACUGGGGCAAGGUCCCGCAUGAGGUUAAGGACAUGGUCCACAACGCGAUGUCGGUGAGUUUACAAAAUGCCUCAAUAAUAUUAUGUAUUACAUUUGUUGAUUUCUCAAAAAACUAAACUAAUAAAAGGUUAAAUGCAGGUGUUCUUUGAGGUUCCCGAGCACCUGAAGAGCAGCUGGGCGGAUGUUGUGCAUGGGGGAAGGUACGUUGGGAAGUUAAUGAAAAAACAAAAUUAUAUGUGAUAUUAAUAAUAUUUCUAAUAUUUUUGUCGUAUCUGUAGGUACAAGGAAUGGAAGAACGAGUUACGGACCCACUGGACCACGCACGGGAACGCACGUUCUGGUACCCCUGCUAAGUUCCAGUACAGGGAGUACGAGUGGCGUUGGCUUCUGACAUCAGAAUUCAACAACCCUCGUAAACAGGUAUUUAAAAAAUUAAUUAGUUAAUUUGUCAUUAAGUACGUGCGUUUUUAAAUAUUUUACUAAUAGUUUAUUUUUUCUUUGAAGGCCGUUUCCCGGGCGAACGCUUAGAACCGGCAACGCAACACAAGGAACCAUCGUGCCGGUUCUAGACCGUUCGCUGUCUUCAUGGACGAGGCGGUCAAGGAACAUCCAGAAGUCAACCGGUACGUCUAUACGUACGAAAAUGCAUAUCCUGACGGUCAGGAGGAUAUUGUAAGUCAUCUUACGUUUUUAAAUUUUUAAUUUUACUUAUAUAUAUGUCAAAAUGUUAAUUAAUAAUUUUUUUCCUAUCCAAUUAGGCGAAGGUGAGGGAGGCUAGUGACGAGGUGAUGAGUGCUAUAGUAAGGGAGACAUGGCCGGACACGCAGGAGGAAGAGAUGUCCGAAGCCAUGUCCCGGAUCGACACUUCGGAUCCGACGGUUAGGGCGAGGAUCAUAGGCAUAGCCUUCCCACCGCGAGCAAACAUCUUCUACUGCUAGGGUCUAGGAAAGAAGGGCGAGGGGGUCCUGAAGACCACUCCAGGAUUUCAACGAAAGGCAGCCUCGACCAGCAGCAGGACCACGACCAUCAGGACGACUCAGCUAGAGUCGGAAGUUCAAAGACUACGGGAACAGCAAGCUGCUCAGGUUGCCUAUAAUGCCGCGCAGGCAGCCUAUACUGCCGAGAUAUAUGCCAUCCAGCAGGCCCAGCAGCAGCAGAUAUUCCAGUACAUACAGGUGUCACAUCCCGACCCUUAUAUUUUUACCUUAUUUACUAGCGUGAUUAUAAUAAGAAUUUUACCGUCCCAAUCAUUGAGUAAAUAGUUUAAUUGGUCCCUAGAGGGGUUUCGGGGACGAUUAUGUGCGGAGGAUAAUUCGUAUGGGGAAAAUACGACGACGGUAAAAAUAGUAAAUUUUAGCUAGUAAAAGGUAAUUUUUAUUCGGGUAUUAUUUUUCGGGGUGUUGAAUUUUGGAAUUUUGGGUUAAAAGGAGUGUUGGGUCGGCUGGGCCGAGCCCAACCCAUUUCUUCUUUCUUUUUCUCUCUCCCUCCCGAUUUUCUCUCUUCUCACCCAGUUUUCCCCUCUCUACACCCAGAAGAAUUUCCGGCCGCCCUCCCGCCGUCGUCCGGCCACCAACCGCCGCCGCACCGGUCCCAAUCGAACGGCCUCCAACCCAGCUUCCAUUCUAGGCCGGUAGCAGCCCCCCUAGCGCCGCCGUGAGAGAGCGGUGCCGCCCGAAAACAAAGGCUGUCCCGAACUUCCCUUCGCCGGAACUUCCUCCUCCGGCCACCAAUCUGGGCAAGCUUGGUACGGUUUUGUAGCCCUCCUCCCGUGCAACAACCCCUCCAAGCAGCUCCCUCCCUCUUGAGCUAGGUAAGGAGAAAUGUGGAGUUGAAAUUUCUAGGCUUUUAAGUUAUUUUCGUUCGAUUAGCCUAGUUAGGCUUGGAAUUGGGUGAUGUGUUGGUCAUGAAAGUUGUAGAGGAGAUUGAGAGGAAGAUUCUGUUAAAAUUUGGUAGCUUUUGCAGGUCGCCGGAGUUGGUCGCCGGCCGCCGCUGUUUUGGGAAAUUUUGUGGUUUUUGAUGUAGAAUAUUAAGAGGAUAUUAUUGAGGUGAUUUAUGGAAUUUUUGGAUGAGAUUUGGAUAGGUUCGUGAAUUUCCGAAGUUUGAUAUUUUUGGCGGUUAAUUAAUGUAGAAUCCGGCCGUAGGAUUUAAGUCGUAUUUUGAGGAGGUGGUAUUUACGACUGUUGAGUAUGAUAAUUAAGUUCGGAUCGUUCCGAUUUAAGAAUAUCGAAGUUAGGCAAUGAUGAGCGUAUUUAUGGCUCUCGGGUAAUUUUGCCUAUUUUGAUUAAAUAUGGGAUUAUUGGUUGGGAAAUUAAUAUUUUAUUUGGAACAGGACGUGAGGAGGCUCGAGCAGACGAGACCCCAGAUCGACAGCAGGCUUAGGCCUAAUUUGUGAGUGGACGUUUAAUUUGAAAUAAUAUGCAUGCUAUGGUUCAUGAUUGAACAUUUCCUUUUGUUGGAGUUUUGCCGUCAAUUAAUUUUGACGCUNNNNNNNNNNNNNNNNNNNNNNNNNNNNNNNNNNNNNNNNNNNNNNNNNNNNNNNNNNNNNNNNNNNNNNNNNNNNNNNNNNNNNNNNNNNNNNNNNNNNNNNNNNNNNNNNNNNNNNNNNNNNNNNNNNNNNNNNNNNNNNNNNNNNNNNNNNNNNNNNNNNNNNNNNNNNNNNNNNNNNNNNNNNNNNNNNNNNNNNNNNNNNNNNNNNNNNNNNNNNNNNNNNNNNNNNNNNNNNNNNNNNNNNNNNNNNNNNNNNNNNNNNNNNNNNNNNNNNNNNNNNNNNNNNNNNNNNNNNNNNNNNNNNNNNNNNNNNNNNNNNNNNNNNNNNNNNNNNNNNNNNNNNNNNNNNNNNNNNNNNNNNNNNNNNNNNNNNNNNNNNNNNNNNNNNNNNNNNNNNNNNNNNNNNNNNNNNNNNNNNNNNNNNNNNNNNNNNNNNNNNNNNNNNNNNNNNNNNNNNNNNNNNNNNNNNNNNNNNNNNNNNNNNNNNNNNNNNNNNNNNNNNNNNNNNNNNNNNNNNNNNNNNNNNNNNNNNNNNNNNNNNNNNNNNNNNNNNNNNNNNNNNNNNNNNNNNNNNNNNNNNNNNNNNNNNNNNNNNNNNNNNNNNNNNNNNNNNNNNNNNNNNNNNAUUUCUGUCCAGUUUUCGCCUAGUAGGUUACCUGUUCAACCUACUUCGUGUUUUUCUUGCUUCCGCUUGUGUUUAGUAGCUCUGAAUACUUUAGAAUUUUUGUAUAUUAUGUGUUAAAUUAAGAGUGUAAUAUUAAUUUUCGAGUUAGGGUUGUCCAUCUGCAACGGAGAUUUUCUCAAUCUUUUCAGUAAAUUUUCCUUGGAGGUGGUCCCCGCACGACUUACUCUGGGUUUCAGGGUGAAAUUCGGGGUGGGUCGUGUCAGCAGGAGUUUACAGCUGCCCAGCUUUAGGGACUUCCGGCUCCGCCCAUGCCUACUGCUAUACCACUACCCCAGCCGCCGCAACCUCUGCAGCAGCCCCCAGAAGCGGAUAUUAAUUUAGACGAUUUAGAUUUUGUGUAGUUGAUGAAUUAUAUAGUUUUAUGUGCUUGUUGUUGGUUAUAUGGAAUUGUUUUGGUGUAUUUUGCAGCUUGCUUGGAAUUGUAAUUUAGAAAUUUCGGGUUUUUUACUGUACUNNNNNNNNNNNNNNNNNNNNNNNNNNNNNNNNNNNNNNNNNNNNNNNNNNNNNNNNNNNNNNNNNNNNNNNNNNNNNNNNNNNNNNNNNNNNNNNNNNNNNNNNNNNNNNNNNNNNNNNNNNNNNNNNNNNNNNNNNNNNNNNNNNNNNNNNNNNNNNNNNNNNNNNNNNNNNNNNNNNNNNNNNNNNNNNNNNNNNNNNNNNNNNNNNNNNNNNNNNNNNNNNNNNNNNNNNNNNNNNNNNNNNNNNNNNNNNNNNNNNNNNNNNNNNNNNNNNNNNNNNNNNNNNNNNNNNNNNNNNNNNNNNNNNNNNNNNNNNNNNNNNNNNNNNNNNNNNNNNNNNNNNNNNNNNNNNNNNNNNNNNNNNNNNNNNNNNNNNNNNNNNNNNNNNNNNNNNNNNNNNNNNNNNNNNNNNNNNNNNNNNNNNNNNNNNNNNNNNNNNNNNNNNNNNNNNNNNNNNNNNNNNNNNNNNNNNNNNNNNNNNNNNNNNNNNNNNNNNNNNNNNNNNNNNNNNNNNNNNNNNNNNNNNNNNNNNNNNNNNNNNNNNNNNNNNNNNNNNNNNNNNNNNNNNNNNNNNNNNNNNNNNNNNNNNNNNNNNNNNNNNNNNNNNNNNNNNNNNNNNNNNNNNNNNNNNNNNNNNNNNNNNNNNNNNNNNNNNNNNNNNNNNNNNNCUUUAGUUAUUUUUUUAUUAUAUACUUUAGCCGACGAAUAUAUUAAACGUUUCGUCGGCUAAAUUCUGGGAAAAAAGCCGACGAUCUCUUUUUCGUCGGCUAAAUUCUGGGACUAAAGCCGACGACGUAUUCUAGUCUCGUCGGCUAAAGUCAUCGCCGACGACCUUUUCCCGACGAAAUCUUAGCCGACGAAUUAAGCUAACAGGCCGACGAAACUUUUUAGUCAGCUAAAAUGCUUGUCCUGGUAGUGAUCCCUCUUCAUAAGGGUAAAAUAACCAAUUUAUCAAAAUAUUAUUAAAGAAGAUGAAAAAAAAAAUGCAUCUAUUUGGCAAAAUGAAUAAAAAAACAAUGAAGGUAUUUCAAACAUUUCGUUAAAAAUGAAGGGAUAAACCUGGAUUAUGGGUCCCUUUGUCAAUUCAAACGGCUUUGGUGACGUCACAUUUCGAGAAGAAUUUAAAAAUUAGACCAAUUGAUAUGUUUACAAAAGUUGAAGGGGCAAACUUAUUUAAAAAAAAUUGCAAGACUGAAUUGAUUUUAACACUAUAGAUUUGGGGGGUAAACUAAAUUUUUUUAUUUAUUGUUUGUGAUUUUGGUAGAGGUUUAUUUAUUUAUUUCUAUUUCAACAAUCUAUUGAUGUUUUGAUGAAGAGCAAAAUUGGAGAAGGUAAGUGAUGCAAACCAAAAGUGAUUGUCCCACCUUAUGCAGUAAUGUCUCACCAAACAUGGUACAAACUAGUAUUGAGUAAGUCUAUUUAAGUGAAAAUAGGCCAAGUAUUAAGAAUAGAGUGGUUUAGAAUUGUUUUGGGUACCAAACGUGCACUAUAAGAUCCAAAGAAAUAUUGAUAAAUCAAUCCGAUAAAAUUGGUCCAAAGAAUAUUUCUUGUAUUUAUUAUUUGAUAAUAAUUUUUUUGAGGAUCAAGACAAUUUCAUUAAUUUGUCAACGGCCAGAAAGCGCUUACAUCAGUUUGUCUACUUGGGACCAAUCAGUCAUACUGGCAACAAGCACUAACAAAGAGACAGGUAGCCCUCAUUACAAAUGCGCUCAGUUAAGCCUAUCAUCUAAUUUCCAACUAAAACCUAUCUAAAUUCCAUGUAUCGGUAAUACCAGUCGCCUAUAGACCUCGAUUGGUGUACAACAAAGUAAUACCGAAAUCUAAACAAGAGAUAGUCUUCCAUUAGAUGUCUAGGUAAGAAACAAGGAAAUUACGCUACCUCCUUGCCCUUGUUGUUAGGGCUAACCUCUCCCCUACCAAACUUGGGUGUUGAGAUACGUAGAGGCGGAGUAACCAAAUCCUUCGCAGGCUUUGGUACUUUGUUAAGGCUACCAAGAGGCCUACCAACCUUCUUCUUCUGCGAGACCAGGGUUGAGUCAAGAUCAAACUCUAAUAGCCCUAGAGAUUCAGCAUGCAACACAGGAACCUUUCCCCCAAGGAUGGUUUUGAGUUUCUUAGGAGAAGGGGUGUAAUGCCCUUGUCUUUCUCUCUUACUGGAGGAAGUAGCUGCUGCCGCCCUGGGAGGGACCAAACCAAGAGCAGCUGACCAUCAUCAUUGAUCAAAGAGCUAUAUAUCUUACAGAAUAGGUCAUGUAAACCCAAUUUCAGACAUUCAUCAGACAAAUUUGUUGCCUCUGCUGACUCCAAAGACCUAAUUACCGGUUUCUUCUUCUCCUUCUUCUUUGGUUGUGCAGAGGCAGCCUCUACCAAAGACCCUGGAGGUUUAGCCGCAAAAGCAUAACCAAAUGGAGGGGCUGAAUGAGGGAAAUUCAGAGAUCUAGCUACCGGGUUAGGAGCCGGUCGCUCCUCACAACUGAUUCCAGAAUGGGUGACAAGCCAACAGACUGAGCAACAUCCUUGAAGGUGUUCAUACUCAAAUUUUAGCAAUGGUGCUACUCCCUUAGAUAGGAACACACUGCGUUCAAGCAAGAUAGGUUUCGAUAUAUCAUGUGUAAAUAUAAUACGCAUCUUACCCGACACGAAUUCCUUCUUAUCAUAGUCGACAAAACCACCGAGGAGGUUGCCCACCAACUUGAGAUUAUCGGGUUCUUCAAAAACAGGUGGUUCGCCCAAAACCCUAGUCCAAAUUCGCACAUGGCGCAUCAAGACCUCGGCUAAGGGAAGGAUACCAUCAUAGGGCUCCAAACACACAGGAGCACGUUCAAAGCACCAUACUCCUCCCUUAAGAACCUUGUUGCGAUCAGAGGCAAUCUGAAAACAGACCAGAAAAAGAUUCUUUGCUCUUUCUUGAAUCCGGAGAGGAUGGUUGACAAUCCAAGUCCGAUGAAAGUGAUUGAUGAAGCCAGGUGGAUCCACAGGAUGCUGUGUUAAAGGUCGACCUAGCAGAAAAGAUUGGGAGGACCGACGGACAGGACCACCCCCAAUCUUACCAAGGUCAGGAGCAGAUCCGCCAACGGCCAAAGCCAAGGAAGCGGCAAAACUUGCUGUGACAACAUCAAUGGAGGGAUUGGAGGCCAUAGGGAUUGUGGAAACCGGAGAAAAACAAUUGAGAGGUAGGGUUUGUGGAGGGAUUGCGUGAAAAAAACUGUGGUAGCGGCUAGGGUUUUGAAGAAAGUAGGUGAGCGAUUGCUCCUAAACUCUCGGAGCAAGCUGAGCUAGGGUUAGAGAAGCCAAAUUAUUAUUUGAUAAUAAUAAAUACAAGAAGACUGGUAGUAUUGAGAAACGAAACGAUUCCUUGCAUGCGAGGAAUCAACAUGCAAGUGAUUCAUAAAUUGGUGGGAUUCUCUUUUAGAAUAUCAAGUGGCGGAUUGCAUAUUGAGCUUUGAGCAUGCAAGUACAGGUCACAUCUCCCAGCUGUAACUAAGAGCUGGGAGAGGAAAAACUCUACGAGCUUCAAACAAUAACAAAAGUAUUUACAGAUAGAGAGAAGCAAUCCAAGAAAAUAUAUCAUAUACAUAUUUACUUGUAUACAUACGUACUUCUUUGUUACGUCUGUUUCACAGAGGCUAAAAGUACCAUUUAUUACACGUAAUGUUCAUGUACCAGAGGCUAGGAGAAAGAAUGUGAAUGAUAAAGAGUUACAAGUGUGUGAUGUUGGGGAUGAGCGACUUACAGGCUUUAUGAUCCCAUAUCUGAACGCAUGGUGGUAAGUAGAGAUGUGAUUUUCAAAGAUGAAGAAAGUUGGGAUAGGGAAAGAAGGUUGACCUGUUAGAGGUGAGGCUUGACCUGUUAGAUUGGAGUGAUAGUGAAGAAGAAGAAGAGGAGUCUGCUCAAAAUGAAGAGGAAGUUAGAUGUGAAUAAUGACGAUGCAAAAGAAGAAUAAAUAUGAAGGAAUCGUAUUUGGGAGUUAACAACCUUGCCGACUGUGGAGCAAAAACACUUGGGGUAAAGAUGAUCUUUAAGCAGUUGAAUGAAAAUGGUGAAGUUGAUAAAUGCAAGUCCAAACUUGUGGCAAAAAGGCUAUGCUUAGCAAUAUGGGGUGUGCUACAGUGUAUUAUGACAAUAGCUAAACCAUAAAGCUUUUGAAGAACCUAGUGAUGCAUGGGCGAAGCAAGCAUAUUGAUGUACGUUUUCACUUUCUUCAUGUAUGUGCUUACCAAGGAAGGAAUUGUGGAGCUUAUUCAUUGCAACACAUAAGAUCAAACUGCAGAUGCUAUGCCUAAAUCACUGAAGCUAGAGCUGUUCGAAGAUUUUGAGACUUGACAUAUUAAAACAGCUAUACGUAUGCUGCUUCUACUUUACAGAUAUUUUCAGUACCCUUCGCUAGUAAAUUGAGCAGUCUGCAUUACAUUGUUUUGCUUAUAAACGGCAUCUCUUAAGACUCGUUAAAUCUCAUUAAAUCUCGACAGUCAUAGAAUUGUGUAAAAUAAAGAGGUCAUCAAACAGGAUUCUUUGUACGGAAAGGAACUGAAAAAGAUGAUAUAAGCAGAUUGUAUGAAAUAAAGAUUAAACUUUGGGAGUUCAGCUUCCUGAACUCAAAAUCUACACUAUGGAAGAUACAAAAUUAGAGUUUCUGUUAGACCUCAACUUGUCGUGUCUUGUGGCCUCUAAACCAGCAUACAGAAAACAACAAAUCAAUAAUAAAAUAAAACAAGAAAGUUUUCUUGGCCACUUCUACACCAUAAUUUGAGCUCAAUACACAAUGGAAAUCUUACAUUCAAAUAAUGGUCUCAUCAACCAUCCCUUGUUUUUUGGGAUGCUUUUAGGUUUCUCUUCCGUUUUUUGAUAACCUCAACGUUCUCCUGCUUUCGUUCCUUGCCUUUCUGAAAUAAGAAUCACAGCCACAGGAACAGAUUAGAUCACCAGAGGAAACUUAUGAAGUUAUAAUAAAACUACCCUGUAGUACUUAUAACAAAAAAAGAAAUAGAUCUAUAUUCUGAGUGUGACAAAAAAGCUAUACUAUAUGGAUGACAUGCAUGAGCAUAGCCAACUAGGUUCAAGAUGGUUAAUCAAAGAGUUCUUAAACCUGCAAACAGGUUCACAAUGGAAUGAGGACAUACUGAAAGCAACACAGCAGAUCAAAAAGUAAUCAUUUUACCUAUCUGAUUAUUUUCAAGCAAGCACGGCAAGCUUUGAUUCUGAUUGCCUUUCUUUUUGUUAAUGGAGUUAAACCAGGAAAAGUAACAGAGCAGUAAUCAAUUUACCUUCAUGGCAUCAUAAAGACCCCUCUUUUUCUUGGUCAUAAGUUUUAGAUGACGUUCAUCAUUAUCCCUGGCAAUUUGUUCAUAAUCAGGAUCCGAUUCUUCCCUGUCCUCAGUUGACUUGGCAGAAAUCUGAUUAUCUGUUUUUGAAAUGGAGGAUGAAGCAGGGACACCCUUAAUUUCUUCUUUUAAUCCCUCGAAGUACUUCUCCUGAAGAGCCUUCAGCUGCAAUUCAGUUAACAGCAAAGCAAACCAUCAAGAAGUCUGAUAUACAAUGACAUAAAAAUAGCCAAAGAUAUGUGCACUAUGCAAUAUUGUUUAAUAGCGGUUUUACCUUCUUCUCAUUCUUUGCAGCUUCUUUUGCUUUCUCAAUGUCGGCAAUAUCCUGAGGAUCUUCCAAAUCUUCUUUUCCGACAUCUGGAAGCGGGAGGAUUUCAGCAGCCUUCCAUUGUUCAAUUUUCAAUGCAUAGUCCGGAACAUAACCUUCUUCUUUCGGGUCGACAAAAGGUGACAAAUGUGGGGGAAGUUCUCUGUCAGAAGAUUAACUACUUAAAAACUCGCACAAGGUAUAAGCUUUGAUUACCAAAUAAAAAGAUGGAAAACAGUUGACAAAAGGGGAAGGUGAGAAGACAUAUAUCCAUGAUGUGAUAGAACAUGCCAAGCGAAAAUAGCAAAUGAGAAUAAUAACUCAAGGAGCAAGGCUAAAACAUAUGACCAAAAGAACAGACACAAACAAAGAAAACAAAAUAAAGUCUUUAAAAAUUACCGUCCCGCCAAAUAAUCCCGAGUAGGAAGAAUUUUCUUGGCAUUUACACAAUCAUAAACCCACUGUGGUUGAACAUAUUUUCUUCCUUCACAUAGCUCAUGCUGCAAUGGCCUGUCAACAAUCUGCAAAUUACAGACGCAAUCAAGUUGUCAGAAUUCUGAUAUUUAGUAUCAAAUUUUCUGGUGCCACAGAUUGCAAAAUGCAUAUGUAUUUGUUCAUAGCGAGCAAGUGAAAGAAUUUUAAGAAUGUCACACAGCAUACCUGAUGGGUGACGCCGUUAUCAUCUUCUUCAAAUGGAGCGCCAUCACCUUUCCAGGACACAAUCCCACCAAAUGCAGGAAUCACAAACAGUAAUGAUUCUCUGUUAACCUGAACAAAGAGAAGGGUAACAUAUGAAGCGCAAAAGUAAGGAAAUAAUGAACAGUAGUAUAAUACUUAGACAUGGUUUGUCUUGUUCGAAAGGACAAAAAUAACUCUGUAUUUCCUCCACAAACCCCUUACCAACCAAUUACAUAUAUAAACCGGUUGUUUAAUUUUAUUGUAGAUAUUCCAAGUUACAGACCGAGACUUCGGACUCACCUCACGGUUCAAGAAAAAUUUCAUAUCCUUGAAGAGUCCCUUACACACCAUUGUAUCAUUAUCCUCUUCGUCCUCUCCAGGAACAUUUUCAACCAGGCCCAUCAAUGCACCAGGUUCAUUGGAAGGUAGCUGAUGCUGAAGUUGGGCAAGUCUUAAUUCAGACUCAGCAACUUUACCAGUUCCAGGCAAACUUGAAACCUGAGGAUCCAACUCAGAGGACAGAGAACUUGCAUCGAAGUAUCUUGAUAGUGCAUAUAGUUCUACACGGUCAAUGAGAAAGAAAAGGUAAUAUUCAUUAUUCAUUGAAACACGCAAAAGUAUGUGCAACAUUGUUAAAAACUCUGAAAGAGAACCUAAGAAGAUUUAGUAGCUUUUAGAAAAUUAGUAAAAACACAUACCAGCUGCAAACGCUUCCAAUCGAGGAUCAAGAAUUGGUGGAUACUUCACAUUUAUGGAACGAUAUAAAUGACAAUUCACAAAAGCAAGAAGAGCCUGCAACAUAACAGGAGUGGAACUUUAACUAUGAUAUGGUAAGUGAAAAAAGCAGUUUGGAUUUGAAAAGGUAGGAGAAAUGGUGAUGAAGAAAAAACAAAAGCAAAACAUAUUGGUAAAAAUGUAACCUCGUAAAACUCCAAAAAGUUUAACAUGAUAUUGAAGUCAAUAUCUUCAGUCAAAACUUGCUGCAAAGGGUGAGGAGUCAACCAUGUAAUCAAUUGCCCCUUUACCUCGGCCUGAACAUACAUAACAACAGAACCAUAUAAAUCCUAUCUGUAAUACAAGAUGAAAGGCUAAAGAAUUAAAGAAACAGUACUGCACCUGAUAAUAUAUGCCUUUAACAGAUACAAAGACUUUGCGCAAUUUAUGAGUCCGGGAUAUAAAAGCUUGCCAUUCAUGGCUCAUCCUAGAAAGAAAGCAAUACCAAGAAUAAGAUAGGAUUCUACGAAAUCACCAAACCACCGACAUCAUUAUUCGUUUGGCAGAACUCAAACACCUACCUCCGACAGUUUUGGAUGCGUUUCACUUCAAUUCUAUCCUCUAUAGCAGGUAAGCACGCAAAGAGGUGAACCAUUGUGAGACAGUCAUCCAAAUCUCUUAGCGCAUCGAUGAACGUCGGAUACCUGCAAUAUACAUAGUACAAAACCUCAGAAACUCAUCCCCCAACAACAACAGACACAUCACCAAGACAACGUCAAACAAACCUCUGCAAAAUGACAUGAUCUAAUUUGUAAGUGGGUCUUCUCUGCUUAAGAAUAACAGCGCGGUCCUUGUUCUUCUUGGCCUCGGCUUUCUUUACUUUCUUUCCAUAUGCCCUGAUGUCCCUCAUCUGCUGGACCAGCGGGUCAUGCUGAAUGAAGGAAACAUCCUUCAAGUGAUAGUAAGUAUGGUGAUUUCCCUUCACCUUCUUCUUCGGCUCCCGAGGGAAUAUCCCCUUCAGAAUGCAUAGUUUCCUGCAAUUUAACACAACCCAAUAUCAGCUACCAAUAUCAACUACCAACACGCUCAAAAAACCAAACCAUAACGAAUCGAGUAGUUGAGUACCUGAAGAGGGGGAGAUUGACUUGGAGUUGCUUUACGGCUUGGGACCUGGUGACGAACCUGGCGGCGUUUCCUUCCUUUUUCUUGCCCUGAAAAAAAGGUGAGAAAGAAAUUAAAGGGGGAGCGAGUUGGAAGGAGUGGAUAUUAGAUAGUGCUAAGUUUUAUUGGGAUGUUGAAAUGGAAGAGGAGGAGGUAGUUGGAACUCACGGCAGGCCUGUAAUGCUUCUUCCUGGCCACCAUGGUUGAGACAAGGAGUUUCAGAGACUCAGAGAGAGGGGGCUGAAGAAGUUCGACUUAAAUGAUAUCGGUUAGGGUUUAAGAAGUAGAAGAGAAGAAAACAAAAAGCCACAAAAAAAGGAUUUGGGCCUUGCGUAGGUGUGCGGUCGGGUUUAAGAUUUCCAGUUAGGCCGACCCAAGAAGAUCGGGUUAUAUUUUUCCGGUGAUAAGUUUCUAUUUCUAUUUGCUUUGUAAUAUUUUGAUUUAUAUCUGCAAAAUUUUCUCCAAUUUAUGCACCCUUUACAUUACAAGUAAUGCAAAUGCAAUGUCCUAAGAUAGAAAACAACCAAUAUGGCCAGAACUCAAACGCAUACUGAAUCAAGAAAAAGAAGCUAAUAGUACUAGAGAUUAAGUAAAAUCACAUGGAGAUAAAAAUAACUAGGACAUUACUCCAACAAGAUGAGAGUCAUUUUUCCCACUGCUUAUUACAAAAAGAAAAGCAUGUGCUGCAUUUCUACUAUAAAACGACCAGAGGCUAACAAUUGGUAGAGUUCCUUUUUAAAGAUGAUUAAGUUCGGUCCUUUAUUCUUCUACAAAAAAAAAAACAAAACAAAAAUAUUCGGUCAUUUAUGUUCAAUGUUGUGUGCUGAUGUGUACACUGCAUAAAAAGCAAGCAUACUGAUGUUAAUUUGCUUUUGGGAUAUUAAGAUAAUGGUACAAAUAACAUGCUAAUAUGGUCAAUACAUGUUGCAGCAAUGAAGUUCCGAAUAAGCAUCAAUCAAACAAAAGUGCUCAAUAGAUAGAACUAUAAGUGAAGUGUUAGGCCCAUACUUGCAAUACAUAAUGUGAUAUGACAGGACCCACCCCGAAUUUCACCCUGAAACCUAGGGUAAUUCCUGCGGGGUCCACUUUCAAGAAAAAUUUACAGAAAAUUCGGCAUAAUCUACCUUGAAAAUGGACAACCCUUACUUGAAAAAAAAUCCAACUUAACACUUCUAUAAACAAACAUCCAUCUUCAACACCUGGAGCCUUCCUGCUCCACAAGUUCAACACAUCUCCCAAUAUAACAAUUACUCAACUAAACUAAUCCCAUAAUCAACAUUAAUUCACUAACUGAUUAUCAGAGCAGACCUAAAGUUAAACGAAAAACAAUGACUAAAGAAUAAGCGGAAGCAACCUCUGACUAUGCCUCGACUCCAUGUACACUCGACCUCAAAUAAUUUAGCCUGCAAACUGGGAAUUUAAAACCAAAGGGCCCAUGGGAAAGAAAUUUAAAAACGUUAGAGUGAGUGGACGAAAAAUAAUCAAGUCACUGAUCGCAACAUAACUAACUAAACUUAAUUACUUUCCAUUUUCCAAUAAUCAAGAAAUCUGUUGCAUGCAAAUGUUGAUAAAACUUUCAUAAAGAAAAUUCCAAGGAAAUGGAGCUAGUCAAAAUAUUGACAAAGAUAAAUAAUAACCUUCAUCGAAGAAAAUACCAAAAUAAUGGACUAGCCCCGCUAGACAAAACAACAAUAAGGAUUCGAAAAGACCUUUGUAAAAAGGAAUAUCAAAAAGAUGGACUAGCCCCGCUAGUCAUGUCAACAACAAUAAACAAUAAACAGAUAUAGCCAUACAAGUGAGCCUCCCAGACUCGGUUGCCUCGCAGGCAAAGUACUCUCAUACUCCCUACACCUUCAUGUUAUGAUAACAGACAGGGUGUAGGGCUUGCGUGAUGUCGUCGACUACAUCACAUCACCCGAAGGCAGAAAGGGCUUGAGUAACCCCACUUAAAACGUGGAAGCUACAUCGCCUUGAAAGGCGGAACAACAUGCUAGCAUGAAUAAUAACGAUCCAACAAGUAUGGCAUAAAUAAAGAAACAUAAAUCCAUGUGAGUUUCCCCGAAACUCAUAAUUAAAGCAUAAGUAUGAUUCCCAACCGUACUCAAAGAAUUCAAAGAGCAAAGAAACUAAUUAAAUUCAACGACGUGUCCCACACGUUAAAAUGCUCAAUGAAAUAAAUAACUUCAAUGAUUAUCAUCUUUCGAAAACCAGAUAAUAUGCAAAUCAGUAUGAAACCUCAAAUCCGGAAAUCAUAAAGAAAAUCCAAACUCAAAUCUCAAAUUAUCAAUCCGAGCUCAAAUCCAUAAAUUAUGACCAACAUUUAAUCCAUGCAUCAAUCUCAAAUAAUUUCCAAGAUCAUUUCAUAUACCGAAGUUAUAAUAUAUGCUCGGAAAAUAAAAUAGUAAAUUAUAAAAUCUUGCAUGCAUAUUAAUUAAAAACCAAAAUGUCUACUCACAUCCCAAUUUUCGAAGGAUAAAUUUUCAAAAAUUUGGGCAUGAUAUAACUCAAAAAAUCUUAAUAUCCCAAAACCUGCUCAACAACUUCCAAACUAAACAAAUACUGGAAUAUAAAUGUAAAUAAACUCAUCAACCGAGUUAAACAUUACAUCUCCAUAAUUACAUCUACUUCAAAAGUCUAGUAAUAAUAAAGCUGCUCACAUGAGCUUAAAAACAAACUACCAUAAAAAGAAAUAAAAUAAAAUGCACAGAAACUAAAAUCCUGCACUACGCCUCCGCCUCAAACCUGCUGAUCAUCACCUGCAGGUCUAACCCCUACAUCAUGAAUAGGUGCACCGGGUUGUAAAACAACAAACCCGGUAAGCUAAAUAGCCCGUAUGAGUAACUCCCAAAAAAUAUCUCAACCUAACGACACCCAAAAUGAAACCGAAAAUUCCUGCUUAGCACUUAGUUCAGGAAUUGCCUCAACAAUAAAAUUCAAAGAGAGAAAUUGAGAAAACAUAACAAUUCACUAAACAAUCAAUCAUAAGAGAAUCCUGCAAAUAAUGAUAGUUCAGGAAUUCCACUCAAAAUUUACACAAAUAAGAAUUGAAGAAUCUCCUGCAUUAAGCAUAGUUCAGGAGAUACUCAAACAAGUUAAAUGACAACAAUUAAGAACAAAGUUAAAACCACAUUUUCAACACUUUCACAAUAACAUGUACCCAUGAGUCCCAGAUACCAUAAGGUAUCUCCCAUGACCUACACCGACAGACGGACUAGAGCUCUAUUCCUAACUGUAACCAAUCACCCGGCCAAAGGCUUGGAACCCAGUUUGACUGUCCAAUAUCACAUCACAAAAUAAUAAUAGCGUCAUAACUGUAACCAAUCACCUGACUAAAGGCUUGGAACCCAGUUUGACUAUCUACACACAAUUCUCAAAAAGAGUAGAAUCAUCAUAACCGCAACCAAUCACCCGAUUAAGGGCUUGAAACCCAAUUUAACUAUCUACUUGUUUUAUCUCACCUAUGAGCCGUUGACGAUCAAGCUCAUUUAUUUUUAAAAACAAACAAUAGAUUUAAUUCAACAUCAUCAAAAACACAAAAAGCACAUCAUAAAAAUUAUAUCCUUCCACAUGGAUAUAUUUAUAUGCACAAGACAUGGUUAUUCCCACAAGAAUAACUUAUCGACAACCAAAAUACUAUAAUUUAUAAACCUUAAAAUAAUCAUAUAAUAAGAAAACUUGUUUUAUCUUACCUAUGAGCCGUUGACGAUCAAGCUCAUUUAUUUUUAAAACUAAACCAAAAGAAAAAAAAAUAAUUUAAAAUUUAAAAUCAUCAUAAUCAUCAACAACAAUCAUCAUCAUUUUAUCAACAUAAACCUUAUCAUCAUCACCAUCAACAUCAUAAUAAUCAUUAUCAACAACACAAUAAUUAUCACCAUCAUCAUUCUCAUCAUUCAAAAUCACCCUCAUAAUCAAUAUCAAAACCAACAUCACAAUCAUCAUCAUAAUCAACAUCCAAAAUAAAAAGGUCACAAGUGGACCUUGGUGAGAUUUUACUCACCUAAUAAGCCCGCUGCAAUUUCCACAACAACAAGAGCAAGCCAAAACACCACCUCACAAUUCACCUAAAAACACACAAUUAAAACCUUAGUAACUAAAAUACCAUAGGUUUUCACAAUACCCUCAACUAACCCUUAGAUCAAGAGAGGACAACUUUCCAAAGUCGUCGAACUUAGAGACCCAAAAUGGCUGCCUCUAAUCGUCAAAUCCUAAUUCAAACCUCAACCAAGCCUACACAAAUAAACCUAAGUCCUAACAUGCCAACCUUGCUUAAAAUCUAGCCACACUACCACUCAACAAGCUCCCAGCAGUAAGGACUGGCUAACCACAGGAAACUAAGGCCGCAACUCAGCCGGACGCGCGGCCACAGGCGGCGGCGAGUGGGCCCCAUGCGCCACCCCAAACAUCCGAAUUUGAGAAAACUCUCAACUGCAAAAUUGAAGCUUGAAGCAAGGGGAACAACUUUCAUACCUGAGGCUUCAACCAAUUUUGGCCGGAACUGGCCGGAAACUGCCCCGAAAACUCUAAACCGGAAUCACACCUCACACCUACAAAACCAGCCUCAAAAACUUGCUUCAAUCUAUGCCUAGACAAAACCAGGAGGAAGAGAGGACCAAAACUCACCUAAGGUUGCUCCUCGUCAACGCCGCAAACGGCGGUUCCGAUCGGUGACGCGUCGACGGUGGCGUUGGGCCUAGCUGCACCACCUACGCCGGUUGACGGCCAUGGAGACUAGCACAAACACACUUAGAAGGAAGAGAGCUUCACGUCUUACCGUUCACUACUUAAAUCGUCACUGGAAAAAAAUGGUUUCCGGCCAAGCAGCUCCGCCUGCUCCUACAGCGAGGCGUCGUGGUCGGCCUCACCCGCCGUGCAAAACCGUUCUAGACUUGAAGACGGUGGUCCUACGAACCAGACGAGACCGGUGCCGUCUCGAACGGUGGCCGGACGGCUGCGUUUGGUGCCGUAGAAGACGGGAGAACACGGAAGGCUCGGGGAGGAAGGAGAGAGAAGAGAGUUGGGGUUUUCUGCAAAUUAGGUUUUCUAAAAUAAAACCCACAACUUUUUCUAAACUUGAUGGGGAUAUGAUUUCAUAAGAAUUUAAACUCAAGGAGUCUCUUUUUUUAUAGAACUUGAUAAAGAUAUCAUAGAGCGACGGAAAGAGAACAAGAAGCAUGAACAUGAUAGGCUGCUCAGGUUUUGCGAGAAGAGAAUGAAAAUACAACUACUUGGUGGGAAUGAUUUGAAAAGUUCCAGUAUAGUUUAGAUUUCAGCUUUGGUUUAACAAGUAUAUAAAUACUGAUGAAUAAGGAUUCUAAUAUGAACCAAAUAUAUGAAUGAGGUGUGGCACAACUAGACAUCAGGAAUAGAUCAAGAAAUAACUCUCAAGUGCAACCAAAUAAAUAUUUUUGGAAUCACCAAGUACUACAGUAAAACAAGAUUGACAUAGAUCAAUUAGUCAAUAAAAUACUUUCAAUGAUAUAUACCAAGUAAAUAUGGAUCAUGACUGCAACCAAACUCGAGAAGAAGAAAUUUAGACGAAACGAAGGGACAAGGUCUGCCAUGUACACUUCAAUAAUUUCGGUUAAGUACUCAAAGGCUAGUUUAUAUCAUGAACAAGACAUCCAAGAGAGGAUACUUGCUACUGUGAUCAAGUUGGCAACUACGAAUGCAUAACAAUACCAUUGAAAGGAAUUUAAAACCCAAAGGAGCAACAUAUCAUUGAAACUCAGUAGGAUAUCAAUUUCAUGAAUCAACUAUUCAAUGAACUUCAAUUCACUCAAAGGGAAGCAUGCUUAUCGACAAGGAUUCUGAUCAAUGCUCAAACUUGAUAAAUCGUAAUCUCAAUAGAUCAAUGGAAUUAUAUAGGAAGCUAAGCAUAGAUACUUGGUGUGCAUAAAAUCAAUGCCACCACCAUCUUAAUACCAACUACCAACGUACACUUAUCAAUUUCGCCCUCGACUCCUUCAAAGAUAAUCCCCACAACCGAUUCGAACAUAAACCCCGCAUCCCUAUGAACACAACCCAUCAAAAGCAAAAUUCAAUAAAAAAAAAAUUCUAUAUUUGAAUCGCAGAUCCCCAACCCAAUCUAAACAAACACUAAAUCAGUUUAUAGUGAAUCGAAGAGCUUACCGGCAGAGAUAAUAGCAAACCCUAAACUAAUCUAGGAGUUCGCACUGAGGUUCGUCUUUCGUCAAGCCCUAAUUUUGUGGCCGGGCGACGAAUCGAGAGUGAGAGAUCGAAAUGGGUUCUUCGUGAGGCAUGGGGAUGAAGAUGAGGGAUUUAGAUCGAGCCUGAAUGUGCAUCUAUGUUUGCUGGGGUUGAAAGAGUUUGAGAGAGUAGUUGAAAUUUGAGAGAAUGAAAUUAUAAUCAGAGUUAUCGGGGAGAGUGAGGAAAUGAAAGUUGAGAGCAUCUCUUAUGUCGGCUAAAUUCUUAACCAAAUUUAACCUAUAAAACAAAAAUAUUCUAUGAAAUCUUUUUUUAACUUAUCAGAGUCUCCCACCGUAAGCUAAAUCCUUAGCCAAAUUUAUAGCCUUUUGGCUUUGAAAAACACUCCCACCAUAAGUUAAAUCCAAAUGUAAAGUCAUUUAUUUUUCUUUUCUCAUAUAUUUGUUUAAAUCAAUAAUUACUCAUAAAAAAAUAUUAUAUAAAUAUAUUCGAUAUGGAGCUCAUAUGAAAGAUCUCGUCGAGAUCUUCGCGAUGAUUGUGAGUAACGAAUUUUUAAUUUUCAUGAUAGUAUAAAUUAAAAGGAGAAAUGUAAAGUUGAAUAAAAUAAUAUUUAAUUUUAGCUUACAAACUUCAUAAGCUAAAUUUGGCUUACCAAAUAGCUAAAGCCAAAUUUUUUAUCUUGAAAAAUGUAAUUUAGCUUAUAGUAGGAGUAAACAUAGGCUAAAUUUGGUUUUUUAGCCUAUAGUGAGAGAUGGUCUGAAGGUGAGAGAAUUGGUUUUUAAGUGUCUAAAAAUCUCUUACCGUUAAUUAGAGAGACGACAGUCUUCUGUCAUCUUAAAACAAGUCUACUUAUUACUUAAUUUCUCUUAUUUUUGGGACGACAGAUGAUUGUCGUCUCAUAAACACACUUAUUUUAACUGCAUAUACGUUGCUACAUUUAGACGACAGAGUUUUAAAUGUCUGUCGUUAAAAUAUUUCAAACGACAGUAAAAACGACUUCUGUCGUCUGAUCCCAUAGUAUGAUUACAAAAUUGGCGUGGUGAUUAUGCAUACUUAGUUUACAGAAUCUAAUUAAUUUUAAGCAUACAUACCUUGUGACCCUUUAGAAGAUUCAUGUAUUCUCUCAACUGUAACAGGAUGAUCUGGUUUCUUGAGAAAAUUACAUUUAAGCCAUUUUGCAACAAACUCAUAGGGUAAAUGGUGUUUUGAUGCUUUCCAUGAAAAUAGGGCAAACCCUGACGAUCACCGGAAGGAGUAGUACUGCAAUCAUUGAUUGAAUGUCUAUCAGACAAACAAUUUGAGUCUCUCAACCUACCGUAGUUAUUAUAACUCUUUCCGUUGUUCAACUUUAGGACCAAAUGUAGCUACAGAUUUAUCAUAAUACAGGUUUCUAGCUGGUGUUUUUAUCUUAUUAUCUGCCAGUAUUCCUUAGGACAAGUAUUGUGUGUAUUGUGGGAGAGUUGAUAGUUUUGGCUACUGUGUGUAUUGUGUGACAUGUCUAGUUGUUUGAUUUGUGUGUAUUAUUGUCUAGCUAUUUGAUUUGUGAAGUGAGCUACUACAUGUGUGUAUUGUCUAUGGUGUAUAAUAUUGAAAAGAACAAGGUUGUUAGCAUGCAUAAAUUAUCUCAACAUUAUAAUUUGAGUUGCGUAUAUUAUUUUAUAAUUGUAGAAAAAGUUAAAGGAACAAACUGCUAUUGCCAAGACUUUGCAGAGCACUCAACACCCGGACAUCCCACUGGAUCAGCUACCUCCUUUGGACUGGCCAACUUAACUAAGUGUUGUGCAAAACGCUAUGGGAGAAAUAAAAGGGUCUUACCUUCGUGGUAUUGGACGAGCAGGCGUCCCAGAGAAGAGCAGAAGGUCAACAUCUUCCCCUUCACGCUCUUGACCGAUUAAUAAUGAGGCGAUGGCAGAGAUAGUGGCUUCUAGAAAGGAGGCAGCUGAGGCACAAGAGAGGGCUGAAAAAACCUAGAAGAUCGCUGAGCAGUCUGCUGCAGAUUAUCAAGUGUUGAAGUUGCAAAUGGAUCAAGCUCGAAUAUGGCUACAUCAAUCCUAUGUGUUCACCCUCGGUCCCAAGCCAACAACCUCGAGACGACGAUAAUGAUAGCGGUCUUGACACUUCUUCAAUUAGUUUAGGAAAUCACACUAUGGACCUCUCAUGCCAAAAACUUUAUAUUUUUGUUGCUUGUUAUAAAGACUUAUGUUGUUUGAUUGUCUAUUGGACCUCACAUUCUUAUUGCUUGUUAUAAACACUUAUGUUGUUUGAUUGUUAUAAGAACUUCAUAUAUAACAAAAUUAAGAACUGAACUUUAUUGAAUGUUAAUAAUCCACUUCAAUUACAAAAUCAUUUGAAUAAGAAAGAUUACAUGCGGAUAGCAACAAUACCUAUUGAUCUAAAUCUACAUAUCACUGCAUUCUCAUUGCUCCUUGAGGAACUUUGAGCCAUGUUCCAUUCUUUGCUGGUCGAAUACACCGUGUAGCAGCUUGCAAGCUUGUUUUCCAGAAUGUCUUCUUGCUCUGCCAAUUCUCCAGUUGACUCGAGAGUUCUUUUGAGCCAAAGCUGCAACUAUGAUCUCCCUGAGAUAAUCUGACCAGUGCAAAGCAAAAAAACCAGUAGUUGAGGAGCACUUGAAUCUAUCAUCCAAACAUCAUUCUGCUUUCUGUUAUUGUCAAUAACAUAAGACAAUGUAUGCAACUAGGAAACAAAGAAGUUGGACCAAAAUGCCUAGGGCAAUAAUACUUAUAUAACAACACAUCAAAUACUUAACUGCCAAUAAUAGAGUAUUGACCCCACUUUUUUUAUUUAUUUGAUCUGAGCAAGAACCUUAUACCAAAAAAAUCUGAAGCCAAAUACAGAACAAUACAUCUAUGACAUAGGUAAGUUGCCCCUUUUUUUCCUUUUUCAUCUUUUGGUCAGGAUGUAGGCAUGCACUUUCUCUUUUUCUCUCAAAAAAGAAGAAGGAUGUAGGCAUGCAGAGAUUGAAGGAAAUAUAACACUAGAGAAGCACAACAGAUCAAGCUAAUACACAUCAAAUAAAACUCGCCUUUUACUUAUAACUUAAUACCAAUUAACUUAUACUUGGAACCUGCCGAGUCCAAUACCAGAAUCUAUGGUAGAACAAGUUUGAUAGAAUUUACCAAUAACUUUUGACUUAUGAAUUCAAAGACAACCCAACACUUUAUAUUCAGUCCUUAACGAUCAAGAACCAAGCUUACAUGAUUAAGGUAUUAAUUCAAUACCUUCCAACUUCUUUGAACUACUGCUCUUGUGACUUAAAAAGAUGAUCUUGUCAUCUAGCAAACUUUAAUUACUAUCACAACAUCAAUAUGCUAUAACAAUACACCCAGACCCAUACUCAAAAGAUCACAACCAGUCUUCCAAAGUAUGAUUAAAUGGGUAUAUACCUUUAAUUGAAAGCAACCAGAGGAUGGCCUUAAGUUUCUGGCUUCCUUCACAGCAACAAACAGAGUCCUCCCGUGGUUCACCUCCUCCACCACCUCACCAAUUCUGAUAACAAGUAUACCCAAACCUCAAAUUCAAUCUCAAUCCAUUUAAAUGAUCGAGAAAAUGACCCAAAAGGUAUCCAAAUACCCAUGUACAUGCCGAAAUGUGUAAUGCACCUUUGACUUAAAAACUCUAAUUGACAAAAGAAAAUUUGGUCAAAAUCCUAAUAGAUUUCUACAUAAGAAUAAUACUAUGGGGAGUAAUUGAAUUACAACGUAGGUUGUAGUAAUAACUAAACAUCCUUUCAUGCAGAAAAAAGUUGUACAAGCCCUGCAUAGGAACGCCGAAGAACUUCUCUUGUUGAUUUAAAUUGACACCCGGGACAAAAAGUGAAAAAUGAAAAAGACAACUGAUACAAAACUGAUGGUUUACAGAUCAAUGGCUUACUAAGUCAGAAAAAGAUAACUUUUAAUUAUUAUUGGGACAUGGACAUUGUAAAAAGGAUGAGUAAUACAUGAUUUUCUUAUACGACAACCGGAUCACUACCUUUGUGUCUUAGUAGGUAGCCUGAUGCAAAAUUAACAGAGUUAUAAGUUAAGUAUUGAAACCACAUUGGCCAAGUAUUGAUACCGACAUGGCAAAUGCUCAUUAUUCCUACUACAUAUUUGUGCAUUGUUCUGAUUUAUCUAUUGUAUUCAAGUACAUGAAUGUCUAAAUUGACUAUCAUCUAGACAUAUACUGGUUCCCUAGAAAUAUAUAGGCAUUCGUGUUGCACUAUAUAUAAACAAAACCAAAUAUGGAAGAAACAAAACAAGAAAAUGAUGACCCGAAGUGGAAAAAUUGUGCCUCUGUAGAAAUCUAACGGGAUGUAUAAAUGAGGAGGCAAACACAUUGGUAAUAAAAGUUCCUAUAAACCACCUGAUCAACUUUAGCCUUCGCAGAGAUCUAAACUUGUUGAGCACUUCAUACUCAUAAUUGAGAACUUCGCAGCUUUGAUUGUCGUUGAAGAAGCAAGCAAGGGCAGAAGCGCCGGAAGGCAGAAAAACAACCCAGAAAAGAGAAAAAUAAAUCCAACCAAAUACGAAAGCUAAACAUAGCGGAAUGUCGAGAAAUAAGAAACCCCAAAUCUAUAACCCAAUUGGUAGAAAUCCCAAAUCGUAAACCUUAGAUCCCAAAACAAAGAAAUGUCAAAAACCCUAACUGCUAGCAACGAUUUACGAAGAGGAACAAUCACAAAUACACAACUCAAAAACCCCAAAUUGUAAACCCAGAUCCCAAAACAAAUCAAAUUCGAAAACCCUAGAUAGAGAGUCUUACCAGCUAGCGAGGAGUAGAGCUAUGAAUGAGAGCUCAGAGUCAUCGAGAGGCGGAGAGGGAAGAAACGUGUUCUGAGAGAGGGAGAGAAAGUGGCGUCGAGAGAGAAAAGAGAUGGUCUUCUUGAUGAACUCCACAGAUUCGGCAAAUGAAGAUGUGGAUGGUGAAUUGGUGGGUAGGAGGGCUGACGGCAGCGGAGAGAGGGUUGGGAGGGCUGACGGCAGCGGAGAGAUGGUUGAGCGUCGAUGCAGGAGCCCCUCUCGCCUCAGUCUCUCUUUCCCUCUCGAACUGAAAUGGAAGAGGCUGGGGUUUCUUACCCUCGUAAGUGUUGACCCAACGGUUCAGAUGAGAAAAGAAAGGAUGUAGGGCUAGGAUUAAUUGUUGCCUUUAAAAAUUAGAAAUAGUUGACCAGCAUCUUGCUAACCCCUAACCUCUAAACUUAGCUUUUUUUUAUUCACCAAAGAAUUAAAACCUACUAAUGUAAUACAUGUUUACUAGCUAGGUUACAUCUAAACGUAUAUCAUUAUAAACCAAUUAUAUGGACGAAAUAAAAUUUGCAAAAUUUGAUUGUACGAUGUGAUCACAAUAGUCAAUUAUGUGUACAAUAGCAAACUUACCUAUUUUCGAUAACGUUUGGGUCUCAAUCGCAUGGGUCAACUUUAUUUACGUUUAAACUUCCAUGUGCUUCCUUAUGAGGAACUAUAUAAUCGGUUUAUAAAUAUGUCCAAAUUUUUACAAGGAUCAGUUUCGCCAAUACUCAAUGAGAGUUUGAGUAUUGAGGAAUCAAAAAUAUAAGUUUCGGUCGAAGUAGAUAAGAGCGUUUUUNNNNNNNNNNNNNNNNNNNNNNNNNNNNNNNNNNNNNNNNNNNNNNNNNNNNNNNNNNNNNNNNNNNNNNNNNNNNNNNNNNNNNNNNNNNNNNNNNNNNNNNNNNNNNNNNNNNNNNNNNNNNNNNNNNNNNNNNNNNNNNNNNNNNNNNNNNNNNNNNNNNNNNNNNNNNNNNNNNNNNNNNNNNNNNNNNNNNNNNNNNNNNNNNNNNNNNNNNNNNNNNNNNNNNNNNNNNNNNNNNNNNNNNNNNNNNNNNNNNNNNNNNNNNNNNNNNNNNNNNNNNNNNNNNNNNNNNNNNNNNNNNNNNNNNNNNNNNNNNNNNNNNNNNNNNNNNNNNNNNNNNNNNNNNNNNNNNNNNNNNNNNNNNNNNNNNNNNNNNNNNNNNNNNNNNNNNNNNNNNNNNNNNNNNNNUAUAUAUAUAUAUAUAUAUAUAUAUAUAUAUAUAUAUGUAGUAUGAGUUUCUUGAAUAAUGAUCAAUUUAAUGUUGACCGCAUCGACCGAGACCCAAACAUUAUUGAAAAUAUCUGAAUUUUGUAUCAUAGUCGUAUUUCACUACCGUGAUCGUAUCUAGAACUCAAACUUUAAUUUUUCUUAAAAUUAGUCAUUUGAAUCACAACGUGCUACUAAUGUGUUACAACAUGUUUACUAAGUUAUAUCUAAAUGUAUAUCUUUAUUAACCAACUAUAUGAAGGAACUAAAAUUUGCAAAAUUUGACCGUACGAUGUGAUCACAUAAGUAAAAUAUGGAUACAGUAGAAAACUUACCAAUUUUUGAUAAAAUUUGGGUCUUGAUCGUACGAGUCAACUUUAUUUACGUUUAAAUUUUUCUAUGGGGACCUAUAUAAUCGGUUUAUAAACGUGUCUAAAUUUUCUAAUACAUUAGUUUCAUGGGUACUCAAUGAGAAUUCCAACAUUCACGAAUCAAAAAAAUAAGUUCGGCCAGAGGAGAUAAGAGCAUUUCCGUAUGGAUAAUAGGCAUAUCGUUUGUUGACCAAUUUCGGACCUCUUACUACCACAUAUCUAUGUUGUCUGAGUCACACAAAGAAGUGGCGCCAUAAUUUGUUAAGAACGGGAAAAUUUCGAAUUUGCUAAGAUUGGGAAAACUGCUUCCGCGGGCAAUUGAAAAUUUAAGAUUCUUUUUGGACGACAUAAAUAUGUCGUCUCAUAAGUAAAACUCUGCACAUGGAAGUUUGAAUUGAAAAUUUCAGUUUCUUUCAGACAACAUAUAUUUGUCAUCUCCAAAAGUACAUUAAAAGAGAUGAAAACCGGAUUUGGACAGCCUUCCUCAGACAACAUAUAUAUGUGGUCUCAAUUUUCAGCAAAAAGUGAGAAUUUCUAAGUUUGAAUUGAAAAUUUCAAUUUCUUUCAGACAACAUAUAUUUGUCGUCUCUAGAAUUACAUUAAAAGAGCUAGCUGAAAACCGGAUUUGGACAGCCUUCCUCAGACAACAUAUAUCUGAUGUCUCAAUUUUCAGCAAAAAGCGAGAAUUUCUAAGUUCGAAUUGAAAAUUUCAGUUUCUUUCAGACGACAUAUAUUUGUCGUCUCCAAAAAUACAUUAAAAGAGCUGAAAACCCGAUUUGGACAGCAUUCCUCACACAACAUAUAUAUGAGGUCUCAAUUUUCAGCUAAAAACCUCAUUUCAGCUCAAUUUUCAGCUCAAUUUUCAGACGACAUAUAUUUGUGGUCUCCAGAAGUACAUUAAAAGAGCUGAAAACUAGAUUUAGACAGCCUUUCUCACACAACAUAUAUUCGAGGUCUCAAUUUUCAGCUAAAAGUGACAAUUUCUGGGUUUGUUGACACCACACCUAUAUGUCAUAUGAUUUUUACAAACCUAGAAAAAAUGAAUUAGCCUCUAAAAGUAUUGAAGUAGGAUGUCAUUGAGACGACUUUUACAUUUUAUAUGUCGUUAAAAAAACACAAAAACCAUCAGACGACACUUGUUUCAAAUGCUGCUUUAUAUGUCGUGCCUCUUGUGUCGUCUGAUGAUGUUAUUGGCAUAGUGUCAGUAGAUUUUUCUAGUUUAAAUAAUUGUACAAACAAUACUACCUAAUAUUUCUUUUGGUCGGUACGAUAACUUUAUUAUUAUUAGUAAUAUAAAUAUUUCGGUUAAUUUAUUUUGGUUUUACAGGAAUUAAUUGUUUACUUACAGGAAUAUAUUUUUGAGUUAUUAUAUCUCUUAAUAAUAAUUUUUUUUUUUUCAAAAAAACUAAAACCUAAGCGACGAAAAUUUUGUCUCUUAAGAUGCUUAUUUUUGUCGCUUAAGGGUAAAAAUUACACGCCAAAAGUUGACAGGCCAAAAAAGUCUUCUAUCGCAUAAGGCUAUAGCGACUGAAACUUUCGUCGCAUUAAAUAUAGUGACGAAAACAAGCUCGUCGCUAAACCAAAAAGUUUCGUCGCUUAACUGUAAAACGACAGGAGAACAUACGUCACUGAACAACUUAAGCGACAAACAGUUUUCGUCUCCUCCGUUAAUUAUUCAUCGCAUUAAAUAUAGUGACAAAAACAAACUCGUCGCUAAAUCAAAACGUUUUGUCACUUAACAGUAAAAGGACAGGAAAACAUACGUCGCUGAACAACUUACGAGACGAAAACAGUUCGUCGCUUAAGUGAAUUAUUCGUUGCCUAGGUCUGUGGUGACAUAAAUAAUCCCCGUCGCUUGUUUCGUUUUCUUAAGCGACGCAUUAUAUGUUUUUGUCGCUUAAGUACCUAUGAGACGCAUCAUAUGCGACGAAUUUUAAGCGACGCUGGUUUUGUCGCUUAAGUCGGAAGGCGACAAAAAUGGGUACUUCGCCGACGAUUUUUUCCCGUCGCUUAAGCCUUUAUUUCUACUAGUGUGGUGAUGUGGUUGUAGCCCUGCACCGAUACAUACUUUCCUCUCGGGGUACUCCUCUGAUAUUUGUAUCCAUUAUGUUUCUAUCAUGGGGUAUGGCCUUGGGAAUUUCAGAGGGUACCGGAGUUGCUUUUUUAUUAAAGUUUUGCUGGGAAUAGGAUUAUCUGGGUCUUCCCGGGGGUCGUCUGGUUUGUCGAAUGGGGAGACUGCCGGUUGGUUUUAAAACAGCUCGUGGCCUGUCUGUCCCGCCAUGAGUGUAUUGCAUCUUAAAACCGCUUUUUGAUCUCCACGGAUCGUGACCCAUCGUCCCGGCGUUGGACCCUUCAUAAGUAGCAGUCUGCCUACUAUAAAACUUUGCAGCUCCCAUAAAGCGUCCUUUCCAAGAAUGGCAUUGUAGGAGGAGGGACAAUCCACAAUGAUGAAUGGAGUCACUAUUUUGACCAUUUUGGCUCCAAUGCCGACAAUGAUUGUUAGGUGAUCAGAGCCUAACGGUUGGGUAAUUUCGCCAAAGAAAUUUAUUAACUGCUCGUGAUUGCGGUAUAACUUGUCCUGUCCCCUCUUGAACCCCUUAUAAUAAUCGUUGAACAUUACACUAACAGCAGCACCGGUAUCCACAAGCACUCGAUGUGUUCGCCAAUGGUCUAUUUGGAGGGUGAUGAGGAGUAGGUCAUUGUGUGAAGUGUUGAUCAGAUCUUCUUCCUUGGUGAAAGUUAGAGAUUCCCAAAGUAAAAGGUUCUCAAAUGCAUUGCUGUCGGAGUUGCAUAAUUUCUACCUCAUCCCACGGGACAAGAUCUUUUCCCUCUCCGCCCAUCCAGUCCUUGUUGUUGCUCUUCCAUGAAUAGUCAUAAUCUCGCCAUAUACUUCAAUAGCAUUUGCUUCAGUAGCAGGUGACCUGUACUGUUGCAGUUGGCCAUAUUGGACUAGAUAUUCAAUUGUAUUCUUGAGGGCAUAACAAGAAUUUGUAUCGUGAUCAAACUCAGCUUAAUACUUGCAGAAUCGUCCAUUGUUUGGCGGGGGUCUCUUGGGUGCCUUCCUUACUGGGGGUGGCGGGAUCUCCUCUUUGUGUUUUUUUCCAAAUUUCUGCAUAGGAGAGUGUGAGGGUAGUAUACACCUCAUACCAGGGUAUUUGUGGAUCAGUGGUAACUUGGGCUAGGGAUUGCCUGGGGUAGGGAUCGAUUACUGCGUUCUCUGUCUCGGGGCCUCUCGUUACUGCUUUUGCCAUUUACCUGGUGGUGGUUGUACUCAUGUUUGUCAUACCGAUUCCCACUUUUCCCGAUGACCCCGAGUUUGGAAUUGAGAAGGGGUGGCAUUGCCUUUCCUUUCCACAAAUGUAUCAUAUUCAGCUUGAGCUUGCCGUGUCACCUCUGCAAUCAGAUCAUCAUAACAUUUGAAGCUCCUCUUGUUUAAUUCCACUACAAAAUGUGUUGGCCUGAGAGCUUGGAGGAAAGCCACUAUUGCUACAGCUUCAUCUAGGUUCUAACAUUUAGCGGUAGCAGUCUGCCAGUGGGUAAUGAAAGUUCUCAAGUGCUCGUCGUCUCACUGUUUGACUUUGAAUAGUGAGGUUGUUGUCCUAUUGCUAUAUGUGAGAAGAAUGAAUCUGUUGACAAAUUUUUGACUGAGCUGUUCACAGCCAUCAACUGAAUUUGGCGGGAGUCGUAAGAACCAACUCAAUGCUUCUUUUGACAGUGUUUCUCGGAAGGCAUGACAAGCUUGGGCAUCUGUGUAGCGGGUGGAAUCUAGUUGUGACUGGAAAAGCUCUAGAUGAAGGUAUGGGCACCCGUUACCGUUAUAUUUUUUAAUCUUGAAAGGUUUCGCCUCUGGGGGUUUCUUUUCAGCUUGAACUCUAGGAGUCAAGGGUCUAGUACGCAUGGCAGCGUAACAUAGGAUCGAUGACUAGGGUCUAACACCGAGUUGAUCCGCUAUUCCAAACUAGACACGGUGUGGCUUAGUUGCAACAGUAGUUGUGUUUGGAUGUCAGGUAAGGCCUGAGGUUGUGGGUUCCCUAUACCUAUUAGGGUGGGCUGUGGCGGGGGACCAUCCAAGGCUUGGUGGACAAGUGGGGCACUAAUAUAAAUGAUCUAUGGGUGUGGCGUUGUAUUAGUUCCAAGAGUCACCAUGACAUUGGUGCCGGGGAAGGGGUUUAGGGUAAGAGAAAUAGGAUGUGAUCCUGGCGUGGUGGGACCGGGCGUGAACAUUCUUGAAGCUCUUUCGAGAGUCUUGUUGUAAUUGUUACGGUGUUCCAGGGUGGCACGGAGGAGUUGAUGUUCUUUUUGCAUCUCACUGACUUGAGAUUGUAGUGUGACAUGAGAAGCGAGCUCUUGAACUGCUUGUUCCUUUAGAGAGAAGUAAUCUCGUUUCAUGAGCUCGAAAGCUGUCACAAGAUCAGUUUGGUUGAUUGUGUUAUUGAAUGUAGAGGUAUUCUCAGAUGGGGGAAAAUUAAUGUGCCUCGGGACACCCGCGGUCCCGUAAUCAUUGGCUCCUUCUGGAAUAAUCUCAACCAUGGCUCAACGGAGUGGGAGGUCUUGAGUUCGACUCUCAACGAGAGCACCAAUUAUUUCCAGGAUAGCUCACGGUCCGUAGAUGAGGUUGUGUGUCUGUGGGAAAUUAGUCUGCUUCUUUUCUCUUCUAUGUUCAACCUGCCAACUAAAGAAUGUCAGAGGACGACCCCGGGUUUAUUGUGGGUAGUCACUUUGAUGCCUAAGUCAGCAAAGGAAACUUCCAGGUUAAAACAAAAAGUAAAGAGAGAAUUUCGACUUACCUCUUUUGGAAGCUUUAGCUUACUUUUCAGUAUUUGUGGGGGAAGGAGUCUUCCCCUCUUCUUCAAUGUGGGAACCUUUAUUCCCUUCCUUUUGGGUGAUUCUUCUUAUUCUUUUUUAUGUGAGCCCUUUUGACUUCUUUUCUUAUCUAUUUAUCAAUGUUUUAGUUGUAAAUGAGUCAUGAAUGACUCGGUGUGAAUCCCUUUUUGGGGCUUCCUAGCCAACAAUUAGGGUUAUAUAAUAAUAACUAAUAUUAUCACAAUACUAUAAUAGCGUCAUAUUGACAUAUUGUAAUGAAAUAACUAAUAUCACAUCAUGGAAAUAAACUUAAGGAUUAAAUACUAGUAACUCUCUGUAUUUUCCUCACUAGAACAGUUCAGUUCAACCCCUCAUAUUCUAGAUAAAAUAUAUUUGUGUUUUCAAUUUUCUUACACAAUAGAUGUGAAACACCUCUCUUAUGCCCCUCGCUUCCUUUUAAAAAAAAAAAAGUUUAGCAUUACGAGAUAUUUAAUGAAUGAAACAAAUAUUGUAAACUCACUAUAGUAAUGAACAUAAUUCAUCAUUAAGAGGUAAUAAUAAAGGAAAUAAAUAUUAUAAAAUAAUAAAUUUCAUUGAGAGGUAAUGAAAUUAAUGAGGCACACUAUUAAGGGAUAACAAUGAAGAGUAUAAAUAUAUACAUAUAAAUGUUAAUAGGGUAGUGCUAAUAACAUACCCCGUUAGUAACAUAGCCCUAUAUGGUGAGAACCAAUCAUCAAUCAAAUUCAAGUGGCAAGUUUGUAAAUAAAAUAAAAAUAUGUGGAUAGAAAAAUAGAUUAGGUGUGUUAAUAGCAAUACUCAUGUUAAUAUUCUAAUUAUGGUUGUACGGUGGCUCAUAAAGGUCAUUAUUAUAUUAGCUUUUAUUUUUUAUAAUUUAUCAUAUCCAACUCUAGGCUAUAUUUAUUACCAUACUUAUUCACUUCUUGUACCUAUAUAAACUCCACUAUAAGAGAUAACAGACAUAUCUGAUUCAUAAUAUUAUCAAUGACAAUGGUAAUGUUCAACCAAUUGUGUGAAGAGCUACAUAUCGGCACUUUCACCAAUUCUUUCCUUAUUUCUCUACUUUUGUUUUUAGAGAAUGACAUACAACUACCCUAAAAAAAAGUAAAACACUAAAAACCAAUGUUUUAAAUAACGCUAGACGCUACUCGGGCGGACAACCGGUGACUAACGCCUAGGCGGGUUAAUCGGGAGAUUAAUCAAGGAUUAAUCGGUUUCGUAGCUCUCUAGACGGAAACGGUGAAGCACCGCCUAGUGCCUAAGUGGGGAUUAAUCGGCUCUAAGCGGAGAUUUUUAGAACAAUGCUAAAAACCUAGCUUUCAAAAGAUUUAGACAAAUAAGGACAUAAGGACAUGAGUUUGGGCCCAAGAGCCAUGUGAUGUAAGCUUGACUUUUAAAUUAAUUAGAAAAUGACCAAAAUUCCCAAACCAUUGGAAAAAUUACNNNNNNNNNNNNNNNNNNNNCUAAUUAACAAGAUUCACAGUUCACACUUCAAAAUAAGGUUGACAUGGUCCUGGUCUUAAUUUAUACUAUUUUUGCCAUCAUAAUUAACAAAUGAUUCUUGAUCAAUUAUUAUUUACAAUUAAUUAAAACAUAAUAACGAAAUGAAGAUUAAAUUAAUUUUGAUUAUUAUUAUUUUUAUCGAAAAACGAAAGGCUUUAUUAACUGAAUCAAUGGUUACAUAUUGACGCAAAGGUGCUUCAGAUGUCGACUGGCAUGUUGCCAGACCAAUGACAAGAAAACUCUGCUAGUUUAGCAGCCUUAUGAGCGACUAGAUCGAUUACUCUCCCUAAAAAUAUGAGAAAAGAAAGAAGAAGGAAGCAAUUGACAUACAAUACUGGAUAUCAUAAAACAUGGUUCAAAAGUCUGAAUAAUUCCUCCGAAUGAUAUACGAACUUUUGCUUCUUAUAAAUUUUGGUAUAUUAAGUUUUGAAAAUAUCAGAACGGUAUCUCAUGUUUCCAUCCCGACCUAAGAUUAGUAUAUAUAACCAUUAAGAUGACCAAUUUACCCUUAAGUUUUUCUUUUCUUAGUUUUUUUUAUUUGUUUUCAUAUUCAAGAAAUAUUAGAAGAGGUUUUUAAAUUUGAUGAUUUGGAUUUACCUUUAUAAACUUGAAAAAGAUUGAAGAGGGGAAACAUACAGAAGUUCAACCUUUGUUAUGUUUCCAUUGACACUCAAAGAUCUUGUUAUUGCCGUUGACAUUCAAGGAUGAUUGAGAUGAAGAACUGAUUAUUAGCAAGGAGAAAAUGACUAUGAAUUUUUUCUCUACAUUCCUAAAAAUAUAAAAAGCCAAAAAAAGAAAAUUGGAAUAUGAAAACAUAGAAGAAAAACUAAGAAAAAAAAGAGAAUUUAAGGGUAAAUCGGUCAUCGUUUUUUUUUUUUUGAGGGUAAAUUAGUAAUCUUAAUGACUAUAUAUACUAAUUUUAGGUCAGGAUAGAAACAUGAGAUACUAAUAUGAUAUUUUUAAAACUUGAUAUACUAAAGUUUAUAAGGAGUAAAAGUUCGUAUACCAUUCAGAAGAAUUUCUCUUUUUGUUGGUCUACAUCAUUUCUCGUNNNNNNNNNNNNNNNNNNNNCCUCUCUCUCUCUCUCUCUCUCUCUCUCUCUCUCUCUCUCUCCCAAAAUCAUAUUCUAGAUCCAAUUGAUUCGUCGAGACAAAUGAAGGAUCUCUCUCUCUCUCUCUCUCUUUCCAAAAUCAUAUUCUAGAUCCAAUUGAUUCAUUGAGACAAAUGAAGGAUCUCACGGGUGAGCGUCGAAGCUGUUGAAGAUGCGGCAUAGCUCUUUGGUGACGACGGGCUGGGUUGGGUACCUCCAUCAUAGAGUACAACCUCUGCGAUUCAUAUUUUGUUUUGGAUUAUCUUUUUUUAGGUUUUUGAUCUUGUUGAUGGCGAAAUCGUUGAACCAAAUGGCUGCCUGGUAGGAGCCAAGUUGAAGUUGUUAUUGAAAUAGAAAAGGUGGUCGAGUCAUGUUGCUAGUGCUUCGUUUGCGUUUUUGAUUUGUAGUUGCAUAUGAAUAUAAUUUGGGUUGUGUAGAAUAUCUGAAACCAGUGGAAGGGAAUUUGAUGUUAUUGUGGUUUGGCACUUAUAGUGUUGUUCAUUUAGUUGGAAGUAAAGUAAGCAACAUUAGCACCGAAAGCAAUUUUGUUGCUCAGUAGCAGUAAUAUGAACAAUAACAGUAGCAGUGAUGUAAACAUCAAGUGAAUUGAAUGAGAGUGCAGCCAUAUAUAAAACUAUAUGCAUGACCAAUCUUAUUAGCAGCCAUAAUAUCGACAUGGAAAAACAUAUAUACAAAGGGAUCUGCUAGAUUAGAUACUUAUGCACGUAUAUAUAACUAGCUUCAAUUUGUUUUGAAAUUUCAAGACAUGAAGUUCGUCUGCCCAACGACUCAUGGAGGCCUUUCACAUGAGAGAAUAAUUGUUAUGUAAAUGAAUAUAAAGUUGAGUCAUUGAAACCUGAUACUAUGUUUAUGUACUGGAACCCUGCUGCUACUACUUUGACUGGAAAUAGUUGCUACUACACUAGUUGAACCACUAAAUAUAUGCUACUGUAUUUUCCAAAAAUUAUUGCUACUACACUAGUUGAGUCAUUAAAAGCCUGUUACUACCCUACUGGUAAUACCUUGUUACUGCAUUUCUAGAAAUAGUUGCUACUACACUAGUUGAGCCACUAAAAAUAUGCUACUGUGUUUUUUGAAAAUAGAUGCUACUACACUAGCUAAGUCACUAAAAGCCUGCUACUACAUUUACUACAAAUAGUUUUGCUACUACAUUUACUGGAAGUAGUUGCUACUAUAUUAGCUGAGCCACUGAAAACUUGCUACGCACUACAUUUAUUGGAAAUAGCUGCUACUGCAUUUACCGGAAGUAACUGCUACUACACUAGCUAAACAACUAAAAACCUGCUAUUAUUGUACGUAUUGAAAAUAGUUGCUACUACAUUUGCUGAGCCACUAAAAACUUGCUAUUGCACUUACUAAAGCUGCUGCUACACUAGCUGAACCACUAAAACCCUGCUACUACAUCUGUUGGAAGUGUAGCUUUCCAAUAAAACAUGCUACUACAUUAGCUGAGCCACCAAAAACCUGCUACUACUUCUAGUGGGAUGUUAACCCCUGCUACUACUUUCUAUUGGAAUGUUAACCCAUGCUACUACUUCUACUGGAAUUAACUGCUACUACUACUGAGAUGUUAACCCUUGUUACUACUUCUACUAGGAUGUUAACCUCUGCUACUACUUCUACUGGAAUAUUAACCUCUGCUACUACACUGGAAUUAACUGCUACUACAAUAAGUUAUUGAAAACAUGUUAUUGUAUUCCAUUUACUGAAAAAUCUCAAAAUGAGAGACUUUUCUCUUCUAAAAUCAUAUUUAAUUAGUGUAAGGUUAGUUUAGUAAAUUAAACCAUGACACAUGGCAUGCAGAGAAAAGAUUGUCCUCAAUUCUUAAAAACUGUCCUUAUUUGUUUAACAACAACAUAAGUGGGUUUAUUUAUGUUUCAAAUCUUUUUGGAGGAUGUAUAUGUAAUUUGCUAUUUUGUUUUUUAUCUUUGUU